rnacentral:lncRNA from 1 species
UUAAGAUCCACGUUAUUAGAAAAAAUAAAAUAAAAAUAAAAAUAUUUAAAAAUAUAUUUUUACGUUUUUCGAUGGAACUGAAAAAAAUAUAAUAUAAUCGACUUAUAAUAAUAUACGAAAAUAAAUAAAAUAUUUUUUUAUUGUAUUUUUUUUUCACACGUAACCCAAUCUUUCUGUAAUUCUAAGACUUAGUUUGAUAUUGAGUUCUAUCUAACGCUAUUAAAUAAAAUAGAGUUGAAGAAAAAGAUUAUAGGAAUAUGCUUAUGUAUUUUGCAGUGGGACAGCAGAAAAUAUAUCGUCAGCAGAAAAUAUAUCGUAACCGACUCAUCGUGCUGAACGCAAUAUUACGUACGAAAACAAAUAUAAUAUUUUACCAACAUAUUUUCUCAUCGCACGUAACGCAAUCUUCCCGCAAUCCCAAACCAACCCUAAAAAUAAAGUCUAAGUUUUGAAGCGGAGAAGCGCUUCUCGAACCCGCGCUUUUGCUGCUGCUGCUGCUGCUGUUGUUGGUGUUGGUGCAUCGCGAUUGCUUCCUCGACCCGAGCAUUUCCUGAAACCGUUCCAAAAACUACCAAACAAACACUCGCCGCGGAACGAGGCGCCAUUCCUCGCCCCGAUUAAUCGGUACCUCCCCAGUCUCCUCGUCCUCCACCCUCGCUUCGAGUUUCUCACUCUCACUCGCCGGGGAACGCUCGCGUGGACCAGGUCCACCACUUCAGCAUUGGACGGUUCAUGCAGUAGCUUUAUGUAAAAGUACAGAUAUUUCAGAUAAUAAUUAAUUAAUAAUAAUAACUAACAAAAGUUUACGGACUUGUUAGGACACAUGAAUAUUUUAUUAUGUUUAUUUUUUAAAUUUAUUUAAAAAAUUUAUACACAUCACGCGGUUGAUGGAAAGUGCGAUAAGAUAUUUAUAAUAAAAUAUAUACCGCAAAGUGCGAUAGAAUAUUUAUAAUAAAAUAUAUACCGCUAUCUAUCGAGUCAUCUUUUAGAAUAAAAUAGAUUAUUUCGUAAAGAAAAUAUACUGUACUACCAAAUUAUGUAUAAUAGUAAAUUUUAAAAUAGUAAAAAAGUCAAACUCCUUAAUUACAAUCAUAUUAAAAAUUUUUCAUGCCAUAUAUAUUUUUUAAAAAUUUAACCUAUUUUAACAUUCAAAAAAGUACAUAUUAUACUAAGGGUGCGUUUGGUUCGCAUAAUAAAAGAUUACUAGGAAUAAAAGAUAUCCGAGAAUCUUAUUUCUAUUAAUCCUAUUACUAAGAAUGUGGAAUUCCUGUGUUUGGUUCGCACGGUAAUAUUAAUUAGCCAUAUUAUUUAAUAUUACAAAAAAUAUACAAUUAAUUAAUUUAUUUAUUUAAUUAAUUUUAGAUAAUGUUAUCAAAAGUUUGNUCCCUCAAGGGAAUGAGAUUAGUAUUUUGGAGUGAAUCUUAUUCCCAAGUGAAUCCGAUAUUACCAACUAGAUUACUUAGUGCGUUUAGCCAAACACCGUCAUAUUUUUUUAUUCCCAUUGGAUUACUAGAAAUCUUUAAAAGAUAGCGCGAACCAAACGCACCCUAAAUUAUAAGGAUAUAUAUCAUUUAAAGUUGAAUAUUAUAUUAUGCAGAAUAAAAUUUUAUCAUCUCAUAUGGCUGAAUUUGCUGUAGGAAACUUAAAGUUGGAAAAUAAUAAAAAAAAUUUUCUACGGAACAAAAAGUUGUCUGGUCCUUUGCUAAGGUCGUUGAUUGGUGCACCUACAUUUUUCUACCCUCAUUUUACCAAAGGUUAAUGACACCAUUACUCCCAACCUUUCUUUAUAAAAUCUCAAUUGGGCCCCUAACUUAUUUUUAAAUCUCUAAUUUUUAUAAUUUAUUUUAAUUACGAUUCUGUCGCCUAUCUAUUAUAUAUUAUCUAUUGUUGUUAUUAUUAUUAUUAUUAUUAUUAUAUAGUAUUUAUUUUAAUAAAAUUGGUUUGUGGCAAUAUAUGGUUGACCGAAUUUUAGGAAAAAAAAUUUCUCCUCCAUGAAUAACUUUUGGACUGAUCAAAGCUAUUCUUCUUCUUUUCUUUUAAUUCUUUUUUUCUUCUUUUUGUUUUUAUUUCUCACUUUGUUUCUUAUUUUUCUUUUUUGUUCUUCUUUGUUAUCCCUCGUUAACAUCCUCAUCAGUUAUAUUUCUACCAUUUUCUUUUUUUCUCAUACCUUUUUUUUUCUUUCGCUUUUUCCCUUCUAAUCUUUUUAUUUUCCUCUCUCUUUUCUACCUCUUUAAAAUAUUGGAAACUCACAUGUUAAUUGAUAAAACAAAAUAAAAUUAUGGAGAUUAAAUAGUCGAUUUAGAACAAAAAAUUUAAAAGACGCAGUUAAAAAAUUAGAGAAAAGACCAAAUUAACAAAUAUGUAGAUGUAAAAAUAAAAAUUAUGAUAGGAUAACAGAGAAAGUCUAUAGUAUUGUAUUUACAUCAUACAUCAUCAGUCAUAAAUUAAUCAUAUAUAUAUUUUUUUACGAUAAAUGAAUGAAUUUAAAAAGACCAGUCAUAUUAGUUGGAACGCUACGACAGGGAUAUGAUUAGUGGAUUUUAAAAUUAUUUUAGAUAACGAGAGACUCCACCUACCGCGUACCGUUUUCUAGAAAUCUGACCUUGCGAAUUUCCCAAAAUAACCCUUGCCACGUUGCACCUAUCAAAACCUUGUACAUUCCCCAAAUUGCCCCUCCUCGUGCCUCUCCAUCAUGCUCCGGUUGCAGUCAAUGCCCCAACAGCGUGAUGCUCCACCGCGCCAUUCCUACCCGCACCCGAAAGUCGCACCCACCCGCACCCGACCCGCCCCGCCGUCGAAUCACCGCGCCACGUCGGACGGGUCGAGUCGCAGAGUCUUCGCCUCCGGUCCCACCAAGGCGCCGCAGGAAACCAAACAGCUCAUGCGUUCGGACUCCGCGGGCCCCACUCGCCCCCGAAACCCACGAGAAUUUUCGACCAAUCCAGGCCGGUUGAUUUUUGUUUUUUUUAAAUUAGUAUUAAUAUAUAUAUAUAAAUAAUAAAAACCGAUUUAUUUAUAAUAAUUGCACCUGCCACCCCCACCGCGCGAGCGCAUCUCCGCCGUCCAUCAGAUGGGCCUCCGCUAAUUCCCCUCGGCCCAAAGGCGAGCAAGUGGGCCCGGCCCAAAAAGGUUCACGGCAAUGAUGGCUCCCAACGCCAGAUCAAAAAGACGACGCGCUCUCUCUCUCUCNUUAUCCGAAGAACUUUAAACUUUAAAUCUCUAAUCUAUAUAACUGUUAUCCUAAAAAGUCAUUUAAUUUACUUCUAAACUCUUCACACUCAACUGAAAAGUCCCAAUUUGACCUCAACACUCCAAUGCAACACCUCUCCCUCCACACACACAAAGGAGCCAUUUUUAAACCGUGAUUGCGUAAACUAUCCCCUAUGAAGCAAAACCCUAAUCCCCAAAUCACCAAAUUAAAGCAAAUGAAAGAGAUUAACCUGCCAUUAGGUGAGCUCAAAUCGACCUUGGGGAGCCCCCCGUUUCCUUCGGAGAUCUUAACACCCGGAGCCAAAGUUUUUUGCCCCAAGCUCGCAUAAGCGAUCCCAAAUCGCCUGCGCGAGAACGAACCAAGAGGUAAUGCUUCAAUCUUUAUAGGAAUAUGAUAACAAAAUGGAUCCGAUUGCAAUAGAAAUAAGGGUAAUUGCUUGCCGAAUCACGAAGGGUUUGCGUACCUACGAUGGCGCGGGGAGUUUGGGUUGGAGAGAGUUAGGGUUUUGAAGGAGGAGGAGGAGGAGGAGGAGGAGGAGGAAGGGGGGGUGGUGGGUAGGGAAGGGGAGGUGAAGAGGCGGAGAUGAUGGUGUCGAGGGGGUUGUUCGGAUGGUCGCCGCCGCACAUGCAGCCGCUCACGCCGGUCUCGGAGGUGUCGGAGCCUCCGGAGUCGCCGUCGCCGUACAUGGAGUCGGGGCCGGAGGCGGUGCCGGUGGAGGACGAGGGGCCGGUCGACGAGGGCGAGGAGAUCGAGCCGCCGCCCGCCGCCGUGCCCUUCUCGAGGCUGUUCGCGUGCGCCGACGGGCUCGAUUGGGGGCUUAUGGUGGCUGGGUCGGUCGCGGCGGCGGCGCAUGGGAUGGCGCUCGUCAUAUACUUGCAUUUCUUCGGGAAAUCAAUCAAUCUCCUCACCCCACAGAGCAUCCGCUCGGCGAUGCGCAGGGACGAUGAAGAGCUCUUACACAAAUUCAAGGAGGUGAGUCAGAAAUUGAUAGAUAGAGGUACUUGUGGAAUGUUUUGGUGAUACGUGAUGCAGACCCUGGUUUCCUUUUCUGGCCAUGUAGUUUUUUUGACUUGUAGUUUCUACAGCUUUGCUUAGUUUAGCUAUUUUGAUUUAUCCUUUGGGGAACUACAGAUACACUACAAUCUAGUAAAAUUUUGUGUUUUGGGUGCAUUCGAACCCUUCGUAAAACUUUCGAUGAUCUGCCCAAGGAUGAGCUUGCUGUUUCUUCUCUUUUUAAAACCUCAGACAUGUUGUGUUUGUUGCACUCUAUUCGUGCUUUAAGUUUUGAUUUUUGUAUGUUCAUCAAUGGUAAAUAUCUAUUUUAAAGUUAGUGCCUUCUUAUCAUCUAACAUAGUGGGCUUUUGGUCUACCAUCCUUAUAGCGGCCUUUAGCCACCUUGUAGUUUUACAAUAAAAACUUUGGUUCCUGACCCAGUUUAGCUUUGCAUUUUGGCAACUCAAAUCUGUAGCGAAUAAUUAAGCUUCUGCUUUGCUAUUUCCCUCUACUUGUUGUAUAACUGCAUAUAGCCGGAAUGUUUUGGUUGAGUUAUUUCAGUUUCCCAUAUCAGACAUUUUAGGCUUCUGAGAUUCUACUUAUUAAGAUGUCCAUUUCACAUGGCGAUGUAACAAACUGUUAAUUUUGGUAUAAGAUAUGUGCUUAUCUUAUACCAUCUCGUGGGGUUGUUUCGUGGAUCAAGCUGUAAUUCUGUAGGCUUAGUGACAGUUUCAUAACUUAAUCCCAACUUUACUACAUCCUAAUAUUGUAUUCCCUCUACUUUUCUGUAUAGACCGCACUGCAUAUGAGGCCUUAUAUGCGGUGGCGCCGAGAAUGCACAACUUAUGCUAUUUAUUGGCCCUUUAUUCAGGUGACUGCACAUGUAAUUUGCAUUCACAUAUGUUGACCACAUAAUGUGGCCGCAUAUGGACAAUACACAUAUGUAGUUCACAUAUGGGUCACGUAUGCUGUCCGCAUACCAACAGUAGAAUAGCUGAAGCUAAUGAGCAGUGGUUAGACAACAAAUUUUAGGGGCCUAGAGAGUGGUUCCCUAUUCACGAUAUCUUACUUCUAGUUUUAUAGACAUUAUCAAACUUAUUUAGAGUAAUCUAUGAUAUUUUUAUUGUUUUGUAUAUCCAAACUGCAUAUGCGCUAUGCAUACUUCUAAUUUUCUAAUCUAUGAUCUUGCAUAUGCGCUUGCAUUACAAAUAUGCGCUAUGCUGUGGCUAGACUGCCCGCAAUCUGUUGGGCGCCUUUUGCCCGCAAUCUGUUGGGCGCCUUUUACAACGUUGGGGAACCUUAAGGUUACCCUGGAAUAAUGCAUAGAUUUCUGUUUUAACUUCUUGAAAGCUUCUGGAUGAAUUGAAACUUUUGUUUUCUUCUUGCUCUUCUCUACUUUAAUUCUUUUCCUGUAAUAAUGCAAUUUUGUCUAUCUUGUUUUCUUGAAUUUAGCAUUGAAUUUUAUGCGGUAACCUGUUUCAUUAUAAUAAUUUUCUUCUAUCAUAUUUAUUCAUAAGAUGAUCAUAUCAAGAAUCAUUGUUGUACCCUCUUGAAUUUUAAUUUUCAACUCUUUUUGCAGCACUCUCUGUAUAUCGUCUAUAUAGCCAUUGGUGUUUUUUGUGCGGGAUGGAUAGGUAAGGGUAUGGUACUAUCUAUUUCAGUUACUAUCUACUUUUCUCUUCAUGUGAUGAGCUGAAUUGAUUAAUCUCAUAGAGGUCACAUGCUGGAUUCUUACUGGGGAGAGGCAGACAGCAGUCAUUAGAUCGAAGUAUGUUCAAGUAUUGCUCAACCAAGACAUGAGUUUCUUUGAUACCUAUGGCAACAAUGGAGAUAUUGUUAGCCAGGUGUUGAGCGAUGUGUUGCUCAUUCAAUCAGCUCUGAGUGAGAAAGUAAGUUUCUCAACAAAACCAUUUUCUAACAGUGGGUAAACAUCAAAGACAAAAAUUUCUUGGGGUUAUUUAAUUACAUAUCUAUGAAAAAAUCAACUAUUUAUGUCGAGGAUUGCCGUGCCACAGGGAUGGGGCUCAGCAGGGUCAACAGAGACCCUGCACGGAGCUCCUUUCAUGUGUUGCCCAUCAGCAUGGUUGGCCCAUAUCAACCAUGUUGACUCCAUGACAAUCCCCGUUCUAUUUAUAUAUGACUGUAGAAUCGUAUUUUCAUGCAUACCUCUUGAAAGGUUUCUUUUAUUCAUUUAUUUAUUUUUUUGAGUUGGGGCAUUUUUGUAAGUUCAGGGAUAGAUGCCAAUGAAAUUAAGUUUCUGAAGAGUAUAUAUGAAAAUUCAGAUGUUGCAGGGAUUUACUCGCAGAAAAAUAAUUUUUCUGUGGUAAAUAUCUUGUUUUUUCUCUUUUAACAUUGCAAUCUGUUUCACUCGGACUCUCAUCUUUGAAUGUCAAAAGCGUAAUACUGGGAUGUCCAUGUUGCAGGUUGGGAACUACAUACAUAAUAUGGCUACGUUUGUGGGUGGUCUUAUUAUUGGUUUGAUUAACUGUUGGCAAGUGGCACUUCUCACACUAGGCACUGGGCCCUUUAUCGUCGCUGCAGGAGGAAUAUCGAAUAUAUUUCUUCACAGACUUGCUGAAAAUAUUCAAGAUGCAUAUGCUGAGGCAGCCAGCAUUGCUGAACAGGUUCUCUUAUGAUGCCUUUAACUUACAUGUUGUGAGCUUCACAAUUUUAGCCAGCUUUAGAUUUAGAAUUAUAUCAUACUCACUUCAUUAUCUUAUAUUUGUAAAGUUUUUUCUUUUGGUCUCUAAAUUGAUAUUCGUUAUCUUUUAAAAUUAGUCCUCUUUCUUUUGAUUCGUUUCUGUCCAUUUUAUGGAAUGUUAUAUUGACAACAUUAAUUACGUAGGAAAUAAAAUGAAAACAGGUUGAAAACAAAAUGAAAAAUAAGGGUUGAGAAGAAAAAAAAAAAAUAGGUGCAGUCAUGUGCUGAAACAAAUAGCUGUAUGAUGUAUAUUGGCUUUUGUAGAUUGCUAAGUAAAACACUGCAGUAGUUUUUCUGGAAACUAAAACAGAUAAUUAGUUAAUCUGAUUGAUAAUGGCAUGUUAGCACCAGAACUUCUGCUGAGCGAUAAUUUUUUGUCAAUGAUGCAGGCCAUCUCAUACAUUAGGACCUUAUAUGCUUUUACAAAUGAAACUCUUGCAAAGUACUCAUAUGCUACCUCACUUCAAGCAACAUUGCGAUAUGGGAUAUUGAUAAGUCUUGUUCAAGGACUUGGCCUUGGAUUCACGUAUGGACUUGCGAUAUGCUCCUGUGCUUUGCAACUUUGGGUUGGGAGGUACCUGAUUUCACAUGGAAAGGCUAAUGGUGGUGAAGUUAUAGUAGCUCUGUUUGCCGUUAUCCUGAGUGGCCUGUAAGCACUUAUUUUGAACGGAUUCAUUAUGUUUUCCAUCUUAUCACUUUUCUCAUUUUAGCUUAUUCUAUUUGUAGUGGACUGAAUCAAGCAGCCACAAACUUCUAUUCCUUUGAGCAAGGGCGAAUUGCUGCUUAUAGACUUUAUGAGAUGAUAAGCCGUUCGACCUCAACUGUUAAUCAGGAUGGCAAUACCUUAGCUUCAGUACAAGGAAAUAUCGAGUUCAGAAAUGUUUAUUUCAGUUACCUCUCCCGUCCUGAAAUUCCUAUACUUAGUGGGUUCUACCUUACUGUUCCUGCUAGAAAAACUGUGGCUCUUGUUGGUAGAAAUGGUUCAGGAAAAAGCAGCAUAAUUCCUCUGAUGGAACGCUUCUAUGAUCCUACAUUAGGUAUAUUCGCCAUGUAAUAACUGUUAGUUAACUUUCGCUUAAUUUGCCUUUCUUGUAAGUUUUAGUGAAGAAGGAUUUUUCAUUUUCUGGUGCAGGUGAAGUCCUGUUGGAUGGAGAAAACAUAAAAAAUUUGAAGCUAGAAUGGUUAAGAAGCCAAAUAGGGCUUGUGACUCAGGAACCAGCGUUAUUGAGUUUGAGCAUUAGGGAAAACAUUGCAUAUGGAAGAUCUGCUACAUUUGAUCAGAUUGAGGAGGCUGCUAAGACGGCACAUGCACACACAUUCAUCAGUUCACUCGAAAAGGGAUAUGAUACACAGGUAAGAGUACAUACCAUGCUCGUAUAUUUAUUAAUGUACCUCUAGGGAUAGGUGUCUCAAGUGUAAUGUUAUGCACCUUUUGGCAUGAACACAGAGAUCUUAAAAUCCUGUUGGGUUGCGUUAGUUAACUGCAAUUCCUGAAUAAUUAGCUAUUUACAUAUAUAACUCUGCAAAAACUAAAUUCUAAUAUGUACCCUGUGGAAACUUAAUUCUUUACUUGUAUAAUGCUGUAAUUACAGAAUUUCCUGGCUUAUGAAAAGAAAAGUUAUAAUACAAAGCCAACUUCUCCCCUUGGAUUGGAUGACUCCCCAACUUUAGAUGAACGUAUCUUCUUUAGAAGCUGCACUUUUGAGGGGCGUACAUGGAAAGCUCAUUUUUACAAGGGUAUAUAUGUGAAUAGACUAUUUUACAGGGAUAAUUUUGUAAAAGACCUAAGUUUUUUAACUAGAACAACUUAGGCUCCUCUUUUUUUUUUUUCUUUGUUUUUUAGCUGCUGUUUUCUCUUCUUUCUUCUAUGCUGAUUGAAUAAUGUACAUUUAGGUUGGUAGGGCUGGUUUAGCAUUGACCGAUGAACAGAAGAUAAAGCUUGCUAUUGCUCGGGCUGUUCUGUCGAAUCCGUCUAUUCUUCUCCUCGAUGAAGUCACGGGUGGCCUUGAUUUUGAGGCCGAAAAGGCUGUUCAGGAAGCGUUGGAUAUUUUGAUGUUAGGGAGAUCCACUAUUAUAAUAGCUAGGCGCCUUAGCCUUAUAAGAAAUGCUGACUAUAUAGCAGUGAUGGAGGAGGGUCAACUUGUUGAGAUGGGUACCCAUGAUGAAUUGCUGAACCUAGAUGGACUUUAUGCAGAACUUCUUAGAUGCGAGGAGGCAGUCAAACUCCCAAAGAGGUAAGAUACACUCUAUAUAAGCUUCUUUAUUAGUUCAUAUUUAUGGUACUCUCUUGUAACUUAAAAUUACUAUAUUUUCUCGGAUUUAGCUUAUGAUCUAUAUAAUUCUUGUACUAGGGGUACUUAAUGAUUGUGGCAUGCCAAUACUAGGAGUCCUUUAUUUUUUAUUUAUGUUGUAGGCUGUCUCUUAUGGCUUGUUAGUAGGAAACUCUACAUUUUGUGGAACAAUUUUGCAAGUUCUUUCAAUGCGGAAUUAUGUGGGCCAUGGUAUUCUCAUCUAAAAAUAAUUAGUUUUUGUAUCACUUAUGCCCAAUUGAUGAUUCAAGGUAAUUUUUGUUUUCCACACAUCUUCCAUUUUGAUGAUUUCAUGCUGUUAUAAUAUAUCUGAUAUCUUCUUCACUUGAUAUAUUUCUACGUGAAGAGAUCACGUGUACAGGCGUAUAGUCAUCUACUUUGUAUCGUCCUCAAAAUAACAAAGAAAAACUUAUGAUUUGUUAUGUAAUAAGCAACUACACUUGUGAGAUAAGGAUGGCUUCAGCACGGAAUUUAUUCUUGAUUUUCUCUAAACCCUUUUUCAGGACACCUAUCAGGAGCUACAAAGAGCCUGCGGCAUUCCAAAUAGAGAAGGACUCAUCAGCUAGCCACAGCUUCCAAGAAUCAUCCUCUCCUAAAAUGGCAAAAUCACCUUCACUUCAACGAACACAGGGAUUUCUCCCAUUCAGGCAGUCAGAUGUCAAUUACAGCAAUAAUUCCCACGAAUCCCCCAAGGUCCAAAGCCCACCUUCAGAGCAAAUGAUAGACAAUUCAAUUCCCUUGGUCUCUACAGAAAGAGUCCCGUCUAUUAAAAGGCAGGACAGUUUCGAAAUGAGAUUGCCUGAAUUACCCAAAAUUGAUGUCCAAACCAUACAGAGACAAUCUUCGAAUACUUCAGACCCAGAAUCACCGAUAUCUCCGCUUUUGACCUCUGACCCGAAGAAUGAGCGAUCACAUUCGAAGACUUUUAGCCGUCCAAUCAAUCAGUUUGAUGAUGCAUAUACAAAACACAAAGCGCCAAAGGAUGUGCAGCGCCAGAAACCUCCCUCUUUUUGGAGGCUUGCACAGCUCAGCUUUGCAGAAUGGCUUUAUGCUCUUUUAGGAAGUAUUGGUGCAGCGAUUUUUGGUUCGUUUAACCCGCUUCUUGCUUACACUAUUGCGCUGAUAGUGGCAGCAUACUACAGAAUUGGUGUCCAUGAUGUACAUCAUGAAGUAAAUAAGUGGUGCUUAAUUAUUGCGUGCAUGGGUGUUAUAACGGUGGUUGCCAACUUCUUGCAGCACUUUUAUUUUGGUAUAAUGGGUGAGAAGAUGACUGAACGUGUGAGGAGAAUGAUGUUCUCAGGUGAUUGUUGCAAUUUCGUAAACAGUACACUUUUAGGGGUCUUUACGUGUAUAUCACUGCGAAAUCAUAUAUUAUAGAUAGCAUUUUCAUAACAAGAACACCCUUGUCCAAGUUCUGUGUCAGAAUUUUCUUUCCCUCAAAGAGGGGCAUUAUUUUGUAAGUACAAAGGUAUAUACUGAAGAAAUCAAGUUCGAAUGAGUAUACAUGAAAACUUAAGAUUUUACUGUGAUAUAUGUGACUGCCUAUUUUGCCUGGCUUCCGGAAGAGUGUUUCUACUCCAGGAACUCAGGAAGUAGAAUUUUUUUUAGUCACCAGGCCUAUGGCAAACAAAAAGUCUUAAGUUAUUGCUAUAGCGGGGAUCUUUUUUUGUCUGAAAGCACAGGCUCUAAUUUAAAGCUUCUGCUUUUAUUAAAGUGGGAAGCUACUGAGAUGAUUUAGGUAUAGUGUUAUUAGUGCUUUCUUGCAGAGGUAUAUAUGGAAACAUCAUGCAUUCUAACUAAUUUCAAAUGUCCUUUUUCAGCAAUGCUACGUAAUGAAGUUGGGUGGUUUGAUGAAGAGGAGAACAGUGCUGAUACACUGUCCAUGCGUCUAGCAAAUGACGCAACCUUUGUUCGCGCCGCCUUCAGCAACCGUCUUUCAAUUUUCAUACAAGACACAGCUGCAGUUGUUGUGACUCUGGUUAUCGGCAUGUUGUUGGAGUGGCGGGUGGCGCUUGUUGCCCUAGCAACUGUACCUAUCCUUACAAUCUCUGCUAUUGCACAGGUUAGCAUACAUCAUAUCUCUGUAUAGUAGUAUCUCCUUGUGUGUCGCCUGCAAAAGUGCUCUGACAUUUGUUUGUUGCCCUAUGGAUUGGUUGCUUCAACAUAAACAUUUGGCAAACUAAUAAAUCUGCAAGAGCCAGUUCCUAUACAGAACUAUGUUUGCCUUAGUUCCAUUUUUGUUAUAGCUUUCCCUUAUCCAGUUAACCUUACCUUAUUACAAAUUGACUCAGAUGCCCUCAUAAAGGUGCAACUACUGUUGCUGAGGUGUGUACAGUACCAAUGUUUUUAGGGGUACUUGCGCAAAAACUUUUAAGGGUAUACAUGCAUUAGAAAGAAACAUUUCUUUUUUCACUUUCCCUGUUUCACUUAACACCUUGCAUGCCUACGUUGCUGCCAGCUAGUUUUUUAUGCAUGAAAAUUUGACACUGCUACUUUGUUUCACUAAUUCUUCAUUUAACUCAUAAAAAUAAACAUUUGCUGUAAGAAUCAUGGCAUUAUCAUAUACUCGUACUUAGUGUUUUAGUUCUUUGAAGCUGACUGGGAACUAUCUUGCAGAAAAUGUGGCUUGCUGGAUUUUCAAGGGGAAUUCAAGAGAUGCAUAGAAAGGCCUCUUUAGUCCUUGAAGAUGCAGUCAGAAAUAUUUACACUGUUGUGGCAUUCUGUGCUGGUAACAAGGUAAUGGAACUUUACAGUUUACAGCUCGAUAAAAUAUUCAAGAAGAGUUUCCUUCACGGAAUGUUCAUCGGUUUUGCCUUUGGCUUGUCACAAUUCCUCCUUUUCGCUUGCAACGCCCUUCUUCUCUGGUACACUGCCAACUCUGUUCACAAAGGCCGGCUCUCGAUUUCUACAGCUCUUAAAGAAUACAUGGUCUUCUCAUUUGCAACCUUUGCCCUGGUGGAGCCAUUUGGACUCGCUCCAUAUAUACUUAAAAGGCGAAAAUCCCUAACUUCAGUAUUUGAAAUCAUCGAUCGAGUGCCUAAAAUUGACCCAGAUGACAAUAGUGGCUUGAAACCCCCUAACGUGUAUGGAAGCAUCGAACUAAGAAAUGUCGAUUUUGCUUACCCAACUCGCCCUGAAGUAAUGGUUCUAAGUAAUUUCAGUCUUAAAGUUAGCGGGGGCCAAACAGUAGCAGUGGUUGGUGUAUCAGGAUCCGGGAAAAGCACGAUCAUUUCUCUAAUUGAGAGAUUCUAUGACCCGACUGCUGGCCAAGUUCUACUGGAUGGCCGAGAUUUGAAGUCAUUUAAUUUAAGAUGGUUAAGAAGCCACAUGGGUUUGGUUCAGCAGGAACCCAUUAUAUUCUCCACAACAAUACGAGAGAACAUUAUAUAUGCAAGGCACAAUGCAACUGAAGCUGAAAUGAAAGAAGCAGCGAGAAUAGCAAAUGCCCACCAUUUUAUAAGUAGUUUACCACAUGGUUAUGAUACUCAUGUGGGCAUGAGAGGGGUCGACUUGACACCCGGACAAAAGCAGAGGAUUGCGAUUGCACGUGUAGUGUUGAAAAACGCUCCAAUAUUAUUGCUGGAUGAGGCCAGCUCAGCAAUCGAGUCUGAGUCAAGUCGGGUGGUUCAGGAGGCUCUCGACACGUUGAUCAUGGGGAACAAAACCACUAUUCUAAUCGCGCAUAGAGCUGCUAUGAUGAGGCAUGUGGACAACAUUGUUGUAUUGAAUGGCGGCAGGAUCGUUGAGCAGGGCACACAUGACUCUUUAGUGCAGAUGAACGGCCUUUACGUUCGGCUCAUGCAGCCUCAUUUCACUAAGGGAAUCCGGCAGCAUCGACUAAUGUAAAUCACUUAAGGUUGAUCUUCACAUGUGAAAUUUUUUCAGCCCUUCGAUUGAGUUCUCUCUCACAUCACGGAAUAGCUGAAUGAGAUCAUCUGUCACUCUGUGGCAGCUUGUGUGGAAUGGAUGAGAUGGAGAACUUCAGCGAAUUCGGGGUCGGGUUCGGGUUUGAGACACGGUUUGUUGUAGUGGGUAGGAGUUAUAUAUUCCGAAAUAGUUAACGCGGGCAUGGAGACAUUGAGCAAUAGAGUUUGGUGGUGGAAUAUUUUAAGUCUUUGGUUUAUUGUACUUAUUCUUUGGGAGGCAUGCGUUGUUGUAGUUAAUAUUUCUGCGGCUCCACGCCAUGUAAGAAUUCAAAUCUGUUUAUAGCUCUACUAACAAUGAGGCUUCUUCAUCCUGGUUGCAGCUGUUUGCUAUCCUUUUUUUCUUUCUUUCUUUCUUUCUUUCUUUUGCGUGUGUGUGUGUGUGUUAUUAUGUUGGGGCCAUUUCAUUUUAUUUGAGGAUUGGUUUUGAACAUGUGAAGGAGAAGGCAUGUUCUAUGUUUUAUUUAUUUUAUUUUUUUUGAAGGUAGGAUUAGUGCAUGAACCUGCGUCUGAUUCGCAGCUGCAACUGCAGAAGUUGAUCAGAUAUUUUUAAACCUCUUCUUGGUUCAUAUAAACUAGUUUUUCCUCCCACUUUCUUCGAGUCGAAUGCGUUAUCAUCUUGCCCUUGCAAUCAGUGUUUAGGCACAUGAAUGUUACCCCCCAAGCAACUUACUUCCAGGGCCUGUAACGCAUGUGGAGUUUCUGCGAGGGGUUGUGGCUCAGAAGCGCUCUUCGCAGAAGCACCACAAUCUAGUUUUAUUGCUAAAAUUAUCCUCUAGUAGCUUCUGUCUGUUGCAAGGGCAGAAUCUUUAAAUUAAAGCUUUAUGCUACAGCAAAAGCGCCAAGUGUUUGAUCGCCUCUUUGCAUUUUAGAGCAGCCAAUCGGUAUGAAGAUGCGUACCAACUAAAUAUAGUCAUAAGAACGGUCGAAAAAUGUAGUCAUAACAUCGGUCGAAAAGAAAAGAAAGAAAGAAGCAUUAAAAGCUUAGUUGGAACAAGAGCAAAAGUAGAACAAGAGGUAUUUGAAAAAGAAGAUAUGAAUUAUAUACAGUACAACAAGAAAAAAAAAAAUCACUCAUUUAUUAAAUGAAAGAGCCGAAUAUAUUCUCGGUCGUAAUUCAUAUGUCUAGCAUCCUGAAAGAGUCAGCUACCACUUUGAGCUUGCUGCGAACUCGCGUCCACCGUCUCUCAUUUGCACCGACAACCAGCGUGUAGUACCGACCUUCCAAGGAAAAAAGAAUGAUAGAGUGGUCAUUUCUCAAAAAACACUUGGCAUUUGCCAAAUAUGGUUUCCUCUCACAAAUUUCAGUAAUCUGAUAGAAAUGGAAGAUACAUUAAUAAUUCCGUGUCGCAGUCCAAUUUACAUUCUAUGAAGAUACAUUCUCAGUUUUAUUUUUUUGUCAGUGCAGGUCACUAGAAUGAUAAGUAAUUUGAAUCAUCUGGUUAGAUUGGAAGCCCCAGUUGUUGCGGUUCAGUGUGUUCAAAAUGAGGUUGUCAGACUACAUACCAUUCCCUAUCGCAAUGGUCGCAAAAGCAGUUCGGGAGAAGCUUGGCAAUGUAAGUUCAUACUCAAAUGUCCAGUAGUUCUUUCCAUCAAUCGUACGCUGCAUACAAUAUUCGAUGAUAUUUUAUUAUUAAGGCCAAAAGUUGAAGUUACCGAAUUCAUCUAGCAAGACUCCUAUGAAGCAAUGAACACUGCUCUUGAGUAUGUAAAAGUUUGCUGACAUACGCAUAUGAAGAACAUGCGAGGCAUAACAAACUAGAGAGGUCACUGCCCCUUUAUGAGAUAUCUAUUUAGUUACGAUUUAAACGUCAAAAAGCAACAAACCUCCUGCAUCUCAUAGAUUGUCGGCACUUGAGUUGGUGCAGCAUAUACAUCCUUUACCAAAUCGAAAAUUGCCUGCCGCGCAAAUAGAAAUGCUACUCAGUACGAAAUUUUAUGUUUUUAUAACUUUAUGAAUAAGCUCUACUUCAUAUGCCGGAUAUAUCUAUAUCUCAAAAUGCUACUCUCAGUUCAUAUGACUGAUGCAUCUCUAAAUUACCUCCUCCAUCGGACCCAAAUCACGAAUAUCUUUUUUAUCGGUCGGGAUAAAGCAAACUCUCACAUGCUGCAAUGCUGCGAAACGAUCUUUGAAUGCAGAAUCAUGCCCGAGGAAGUCAAAAUCCUGCAGCCACACAAAUUGAAAAGAGGCGUAAAAUUCAACUGCUUCCAUUCAACUGGUUUGCUGAGGAGAAUUCAUUUUUUAACGUUUGGUUAGUUUGCAUACGCAUGUAACAACUUACCCUCCAAUCUGAGGGAUAGUAAUAGGAAUAUCCAUCCUCGUAAUCCACAAAAGCUCGAUAAUUAUCCGGUACUCCUACAAUCUUGAAACAAGUUAGCAUGUAUAAGGUGGCAUAUAUAAGAUUACUAAACCAAAUGAUGGAAAGAUUCAUCAACAAAAUCAGUUCCAUGUGAAAUUCUACGUAAUUGUUUACUACUCUUCACCGUAGAAAUGGUUUCAGUAUGACGAAAAAAGAAAAUAAAUGCAGGCAAUGAUCACAGAAAGAGAGGGAAAAAUGAGAGAGAGAGAGAGAGAGAGAGAGAGAGCGAAUGAUGAUGCUACCUUCAGCAGAUGCAGAAGUGGAAUGUAACAGGCCAGAAACCAAUGCACCAGUUGCAACUAGCAUCCAUCUUCUUUUCAUAGAAGCUGUAAUAGGUAAUCUAACAUUACAAAUUUGUGGAAAGAAAAGAAGGCCUUCACACUUGAAAUAUCUGAUAAAGUUGAAUAUGAUUUACUAAUAUGGUGACAUGUAUUGAUAUGAUAGUCCGUGCACUUCGCCCCGUACUAGUUCACUCAAACACUUCAGUCUCUCGAUUUUUACAAAUGCUGCACUUUGUAAUUAAAGGGCUAAACAGGCCGUUCUCAAUUCUACAAGAGAACUAAGAAUUUUUUUUUCUGUUUUAUAGUCGACGAAUAAAGUGCAAUGUAUAUAAAAGUUCAACGAUUAAAAUGUUUAAGUGAGAAGUGCAGGGUCCAAGCCAGAAUAUUGGCGUUAAGUGUAGUACAGGAAUGUCCUAUUCAUACAUUUUACCCUUAGUAAUGUUGAACCAAUAUUUAGAUUAUAAACAUUGAUCUUCUGAAUAUCUUCCAUCCCAAAGAUUAGUACCAGAAAUGAGCAGGAAAACUUAAAAAAAAAGGGGAAAAGAGAAAAAUCAUUGAAGAUGAUGCACUGUGUCUUACUGGACAAGCACGUAGUACAUACUACAUAUCACAUAAAAAGGAAAAUAAUUCACAUUUCUUCCAUACUUUCAACUUUUAAACCGAAACAAAUUUUAAAUUAACCUUUUACAAAAUUCAAUCAUAUACAAUAUCAGCCAAAACCCGUCACUUCUCUCUUUCUAUAAUUCAGAAAAAAAAAAAAGAAAAUUUACAAAAAAAAAAAGAAUUAGAAAAAAAAAAUAGAGAUGAAAUUUGAGAGCUCAUGGCACCUGGUUGGGAAGGGAACAAAUCCAGUGGGAUAAAGCUGCCAUUUUUGGCGGAUUUGAGGAGGAAAAUUUUGAAGCAGAACGAUUCAGCUAAUUAGAGAGUAGUACAUAAAUGAGUGUGUGUGUGUGUGUGUGUGAGUUUCCCUUUAUCUAAAGCUCCCAAGUUCGUAGGCUUAAUAUAUAGAGUCCGUGUGUGUGUGUGUGUGUGUGUGUGUGUAUGUGUGUGGGUGAAAGCAAAUGUUGCCCUGUCGCAGUCGCCCCUUAUCCGUCUCAUGAAAACCUGGUGGAGCUCGCUUCGACUAAAUUUUGUUGCGGUUAAAAAUGUUGAAAUAAGGAUAAGAAAAAUACUGAAGUAAUUUAAAUCUAACUGUUUCAAUUUUAAUAGAUGAUCAUGUUAACUAUAAAGCAUAACACAAUUCCCCGUUCAAUUAGCACAAAAACCAUUGAAUUUAUCAAAACUAUAACUUAGUCGAAAUUAGCUCAAAUCAAAAUAAUCAAAAGCUAAGAAAGAAAAAAAAAACAAUUGAGGGAACAGGCCGAGAAUUUGUUAUUCGACUAAACUAUAGCCCUUCACAAAAGAGGGAAGAGAAAAGAGAGGCACACAUUUUCAACUGUUCAAGCAUAGAAGGCCCGUGACCACAACUUGUAACACAACAUUUAGCAUGUGUAUAAUCAAGAUCUAUCGAGCAGCAGUGCGCAUAUAAGCAACAGCUAGAGACCCCUCGGGACAGGCUUGACCAACCCAAGUCCCGUGCCGCUGCCCAAGUGCUUGAAGUCGGUCGCCUCCAAUUUGUCGUCGUGCCCGGCAAACCCCGUCCCGCCUCUCUCCAAGGGAACCAAGUUCCUCACUUUGCACUCCCUACUACACACCAAGCACACCCUGUCGGUCGCCACAAACUUAUCUGCGCACUUCUUACAGAACACGUGGCCGCACGUGGUGAGAGCCACGAGCGACAUCGUGUUCGUCAGGGUCACUUUGCAGCUGGGGCAGAUGUAGUUGCUGUCCGAACUCCUGGUCUUCUUCUGACCAUUACCAGUAUCUUCCGUGAAGUAGAUGGGGAAAAGGGCUUUUAGCUUCAGCUUCUCUUUUCCCUCGGGGCAAAUAGUGUCGGUGGAGGGAGCUUCGACUUUGACCGAGGCGCCUGGAGUAGCCGACGGGAGCCAAAAGGCCUUCAUGUCGCGGAGGGCUUCCUCUUCGUAGGAAGUUACUUUUACACUGUUCGCCCCGUGGAAGCCAUUCUUGUCAUGCGUGUUGCUCUUGUCGUUAUUAUACUGCGGGACGGCGCCGUGGUUCUGCUGAUCAAAAGCCUCUAGUUCUCGGGCUUUUUGCAGCAUCAGCUUCUCUUCUUGCUCUUCUUUCUCUUGAUUUUGUUGAGCAGCAUGGGCAGCAAGUUUCCUGGAGCAUAUAAAGAAUGAAGAUCAACUUUACUAAAUCAAAGAUGAGGUUUUGGACAGACAUCAAACAAAAGUUGCAACUAAUGGAUGAUAAUACAAUUCUUCUUGAGGUUCGAUGUUAGACCAAAUUAUUUGCUAAUUGCACACGUCCAUUAGGUGCGAUAUGAAUACAUAGGGGUUUUCUUUUAAUUAUACUGACACCUUAGGAUAGUAAAACUUCCCCUACAAGAUGAUUUAUUCUGUUCGGAGAGAAAUAACUAAGAGGUCUCAGGUUGCAUUCACUAUGCAAUCGUAGAAUCUUCUCAUACUCUCUAUCAACCAAUUAAACGUGUUCCUUGAGUAAACAAAAAGGAGAAGCACCCACCCAAUGCUUCUCCCACGGCAGUUCGAGUUACCGUUAUAUAACAUCAUACAUGAAAACUUCUAAAGCAUUUUUUAGAUUUUACGAGACCCUCUAAAGCAUCAAAGUGGGUGAGUUUGGCAACGACACUCCCAAACUAGCCCUUAGUUUGGGAAUCCCUAUAAAGCCUUACUAUGGCACGUUUGGCGUGAUGAGAUUUUUAACAAAAGACGACUUGAUAAAAGGGAAGUUGGUGUUAGAAAAUUUGUGUCUUUUGUUCAGAUGCUUUGGCCAAUCAACAAAUGGUCACACAGACAGAUCAAUAAAAAACACUUUAUGUUAUCUUCUAAACAAUCUAAGCCAGUUAAAUGCUGCCUACAAAUACACUAAAAUUGAGAUCACACCUGAUGACCCUUUUAACACUCUUUUAAGUGGAGGUCAGUGCUGGAACUCAGAUUGAAUCACUUGGCAAAUUUUGAAGAUGAAGCUUAAAAUAAACGGCGAUCCGGUAAAAGUACCUUCAAUUUCAGCCCCCUUUCUUUUUCAAUAAAUAAGUUUCACGUACCAAUUCAAACAUUACCAAAUUUACUAAACAUCAACACAUGAACCUACUUUAUCACAGAUAUAGCAUCUUUAAAAACUAACAUACUCAACGAAAUUAUAAAUUUAUCAACAGUAAUCUUAACAAUAAAUCAACAUAAUUAACCUCAACGUAAUUCCCCCAAUUCUCCACAAAAACUACGGUAGCCAAAAACACAAAACAUAGAUCACACAUCAAAGCGCCCACAACAGAUCCAACGAGAUCAAACAAAACGAACAUGGAUUGGAAUCAGAAGAAAGAGUGGAAUUAUAUGAAACCCUAACCUCUUGAUGUCCUUCUUUUGGGCGAGGAGGCACUCGAGGAUGCACUCCUUGCAGAAGACGUGGCCCUUUUGGCAACAGAGGGGGUCGAUGAAGGGCUUGAGGCAGAGGCAACACGCGUCGAAGGGCUUGAUCGAGUCCUUGCCGAGGCGCUCCCGCUGCGUCCCGUACCCGAGCUUCCGCUUCUCCUCGUACGUGAAGAACGCGAGGUCAUUGUUGUUCUUCGAGUGCCGCUGCGGCAUCCUCCCUUCUUCGUCUCUAACCCUAACCCUAACCCUAACCCUAACCCUAACCCUAGAGAUCGGAGGAGGGAGAGGGAGAUAGAAGCUUCUGUUGGUGUCGAGGAGAGGCGGUGAUCGAGACCACGAUAAGGUUGAAUGUUGGAUUUCGGAUAAUUUAUCUGCUUAUUAUGUCACGACCCGUACCCGAUACCGACUCGGACAAAAAUUGUACGAAGACCCCUCGAAUAUAAGACGGUUUGGAAUAAGGUCUUCUAAUUUUUCUUUUUUUUAGAGAAAUUACUUGCACUAUUAGUCCCUGAACAUUCACUUUAGUUCUGUUUGGCCCUUAAAAUUUUACUAUUAUUAUUACAUCUAAAUCUUAUAAUUCAAUUUAUAAAUAUAGAAAGUACUGCACAUAAAAUUGUUAAUUGACAAAAUUAAAAUACGUGAUGAUAGAAAAUUAAAGGUUAAUAAAUGUAAGGUGCAUGAUUCCAGAGGUGCUCCAACUCCAUGGAUAGACACUAGACUCUUUUCCCUUGCAAUAUGUAAUUGCUGAGCAAUAACCAAAAAUUAAAAUUUUAAACAUAAAACUGUGUAAACUUCUAAAACUUUAAUGUGUUGACCUCAUUGAUAAAAAUAAAAAUAUAGCUGAGUGGGUACAUUGGACUUAUUAUUUGUUAUUAAAUUUUUUGUUCUAUAGUUUUUUCUAUUUAAAUUAGUUAAUUUUUAAUUUAAAAUUUUGAAUAUUAAUUGUUUAACAUUUUACGGUCUGCAUAAGAGGAAGUUUACUGUGUAAUAUUUAUACCACAUCAUCUACUUCCAGCCAGUCAUAUUUUUUUCUUUGAAAGAAAAAAUAUAUAAUUUUUUUUUAAAAAAAAUCAUGAUGAAAUGGAUGAAUCUUAAAAGAGUAUUUUGAUUAAUUAAAAAACACCAUAUUAGUAAUAUAAGUGUUGAAUUUUAGAAUUUUUCGCAAAAGCGGCUAUUGUCACCAUUUGUUUAGUUGGAAGUUAAGGGGUGGAAUAACUCCUUAACCCCCAUAUUAUCUCUAAACAUCCCAAAAAUGGGUGGGGUUAGCUAACCCCACCUAAUCCAGGAUAGCCCAUUUUGGGUGAGGUUAGCUAACCUCACCUAACCCCACCAAAUUUCAACCAAACAUUAUUUUCUAUUCAUAAUAAUCCACUAUCCUUCUUAUUCCAUAUACUCCAACCAAACACUAUUUUUUACUAUUCUGGACUAACUCCAACCCCCAACCAAACAUAAAAAUACUCUAUUCCCAUCUUAACCCUGAACUUAAUCCUAUUUUUAAAAUAACUAGUUUUUUCUUAAUCCCGAACCAAGCGAUCUGAAAAAGAUUAGAGAGUACUGGAGCAUGUGAAGAGAAGUUGGAAGAACGUGAGAAGGGACAAAAUGGUGGUGGUAUCCAACCAACCAAAAAUGGGGACGCGUCCGUGAAUUUAUGACCUUUUUUACACAUGAAAAUUAAAUUCUAAACAGUUAAACUAAACCCAGGUGCCAUGAGAUUCAGAUGCUCCCUCUUCAAAUGCUUUACUAUCUUUUAUUAUUAUUAUUUAAUUUGAGGGAUUAUUUAACAAUCUUUGGGAGCCCGAAAACAGAGUGAGAAUCUAUUUUUAUAUUUUAAAGAGUAGAAUAUUUAAAAUUAUUUUUAAAUUUAUUUUGUCUAAAUAAUAAAUUAUUGAUAAACAUUAUUAUCAUCGCAAAUGCAUAUAAGAGAGGCACGGUAUACUAGCCAUUAAUAACUAAUGUAAGUCGUAAAUGGAGCUCAUAAUCAGAGCCCAUAAACAGGAGUGAAAGAACUAUACUGCUGGAUUUUCUUUUUUUUUUACUUCUAAUCCUCAUUAGAGUAAGCACGUUCAGAUUAUAUAGGAUAUUUGGCAUGCAAAUUUUCAGAAUAUACAGUGCAUUAGUUAUUCUUUAAUGAGUAAGCAAACUCACGAAAACUCUGCUAAUAAACUUAUAGAAUUAUUAGUCUUAAUCAUUAAUUUGACUGUGAUUCGAUCUAACGCGAUUUUCUGUCAUUUCGAACGUAAUUCGGUUAUACUCAAGCUUCCGUCUUUUUGAACAUGACUCGAUCUGAUAGCCCGAUGCUAAUUUUGUAAGCGAACGAAGUAUAAUUGCGAGGUACAAAAAUUAUGGCAUUUAAGAGUUCUACCUAGGAACACUCUAAUUAAAGAAAAAGAAGAAACACUUCACAUGGUUGCAUCAGGCUUUAAUGAUGAACCCCUCUCAUGAACUCUGUUUCCAUCUCGUUUGUAAGCGGAGGAGCCCAUCAACCUCAAACAGCUGCUGACACUUCCAACACCACCUCCACCUCCAUUCCCAUUUCCCACNGGUCCCUGAACAUUCACUUUAGUUCUGUUUGGCCCUUAAAAUUUUACUAUUAUUAUUACAUCUAAAUCUUAUAAUUCAAUUUAUAAAUAUAGAAAGUACUGCACAUAAAAUUGUUAAUUGACAAAAUUAAAAUACGUGAUGAUAGAAAAUUAAAGGUUAAUACAUGUAAGGUGCAUGAUUCCAGAGGUGCUCCAACUCCAUGGAUAGACACUCGACUCUUUUCCCUUGCAAUAUGUAAUUGCUGAGCAAUAACCAAAAAUUAAAAUUUUAAACAUAAAACUGUGUAAACUUCUAAAACUUUAAUGUGUUGACCUCAUUGAUAAAAAUAAAAAUAUAGCUGAGUGGGUACAUUGGACUUAUUAUUUGUUAUUAAAUUUUUUGUUCUAUAGUUUUUUCUAUUUAGAUUAGUUAAUUUUUAAUUUAAAAUUUUGGAUAUUAAUUGUUUAACGUUUUACCACCUGAUUGGGGACGGUCUGCAUAAGAGGAAGUUUACUGUAUAAUAUUUACACCACAUCAUCUACUUCCAGCCAGUCAUAUCUUUUUUUUUGAAAGAAAAAAUAUAAUAAUUUUUUUAAAAAAAAUCAUGACGAAAUGGAUGAAUCUUAAAAGAGCAUUUUGAUUAAUUAAAAAACACCAUAUUAGUAAUAUAAGUGUUGAAUUUUAGAAUUUUUCGCAAAAGAGGCUGUUGUUACUGUUUAUUUGGUUGGAGGUUAAGGGGUGGAAUAACCCCUUAACCCUCAUAUUAUCUCCAAAUACUCCAAAAAUGGGUGAGGUCCGUCUAACCCCACCUAAUCCAGAAUAGCCUAUUUUGGAUGGGGUUAGCUAAUCUCACCUAACUCUACCAAAUUCCAACCAAACAUUAUUUUCUAUUCAUAAUAAUUCACUAUUCUUUUUAUUCCAUAUACUCCAACCAAAUAUUAUUUUUCACUAUUCUGAACUAAAUACUCUAUCCCCAUCUUAACCCUGAACUUAACUCUAUUCCUAAAAUAACUAAUUUUUUCUUAAUCCCGAAACACACGAUCUGAAAAAGAUUAGAGAGUACUGGAGCAUGUGAAGAGAAGUUGGAAGAACGUGAGAAGGGACAAAAUGGUGGUGGUAUCCAACCAACCAAAAAUGGGGACGCGUCCGUGAAUUUAUGACCUUUUUUACACAUGAAAAUUAAAUUCUAAACAGUUAAACUAAACCCAGGUGCCAUGAGAUUCAGAUGCUCCCUCUUCAAAUGCUUUACUAUCUUUUAUUAUUAUUAUUAUUUAAUUUGAGGGAUUAUUUAACAAUCUUUGGGAGCCCGAAAACAGAGUGAGAAUCUAUUUUUAUAUUUUAAAGAUUAGAAUAUUUAAAAUUAUUUUUAAAUUUAGUUUGUCUAAGUAAUAAAUUAUUGAUAAACAUUAUUAUCAUCGCAAAUGCAUAAAAGAGAGGCACGGUAUACUAGCCAUUAAUAACUAAUGUAAGUCGUAAAUGGAGCUCAUAAUCAGAGCCCAUAAACAGGAGUGAAAGAACUAUACUGCUGGAUUAUCCUUUUUUUUACUUCUAAUCCUCAUUAGAGUAAGCACGUUCAGAUUAUAUAGGAUAUUUGUCAUGCAAAAUUUCAGAAUAUACAGUGCAUUAGUUAUUCUUUAAUGAGUAAGCGAACUCACGAAAACUCUUGCUAAUAAACUUAUGGAAUUAUUAGUCUUAAUCAUUAAUUUGACUGUGAUUCGAUCUAACGCGACUUUCUGUCAUUUCGAACGUAAUUCGAUUAUACUCAAGCUUCCGUCUUUUUGAACAUGACUCGACCUGAUAACCUGAUGCUAAUUUUGUAAGUGAACGAAGUAUAAUUGCGAGGUACAAAAAUUAUAGCAUUUAAGAGUUCUACCUAGGAACACUCUAAUUAAAGAAAAAGAAGAAACACUUCACAUGGUUGCAUCAGGCUUUAAUGAUGAACCCCUCUUAUGAACUCUGUUUCCAUCUCGUUUGUAAGCGGAGGAGCCCAUCAACCUCAAACAGCUGCUAACACUUCCAACACCACNGCCGAGUCUUCGAACCGGAUUCCGGCUCAGGUGAUGCUUCUCCCCGCUCCUUCACCGUCUCCCCCACCACCCACACCGUAGUUCGCUCCAACUCUUCCGGUAUCUACGGAAGCGCCCGUGUUUUUACCCGAUUCUCCGAGUAUGGAUUCGCCGUUAAGCAUGCGGGUUGGCACUUCUUGAGGCUACAUUUUUACCCUCUUCGUAGUCCUCGGUAUAACCUCCGGUCGGCGUGCUUUUCCGUCGCCGCUAAUGGAUUCACCUUGCUUUAUAGCUUCUCUUGCUCGAAGAUGAGUACUAGAAGCUCUGUUCAUUACAAAGAAUACAUUUUGGAGGUGAAUUCGGAGUCGCAACCGUUAAUUUUGAGGCUAACUCCUGCUAAUGGGUCGAUUGCGUUCAUCAGCGCAAUUGAGGUUAUAUCGAUUCCCGACGGAUUGGUUCCGUCCGCCGCCGCCACCGUUCCGAUCGGGCCUUAUGUCAAUAUCUCCACACACUUGGCCUUUGAGACCAUUUACAGGAUUAAUGUGGGAGGUGUAGCUAUUGGUUCGAAAAAUGACACUUUUUGGCGGAUUUGGGAGACGGAUCAACCGUUCUUGAUCAAUCCUGCUUCUGUUCACACCGUGUCAACCGAUCCGCAUAAUGUUAAAUACCCGCCUGGAAUUCCGUCUUAUACGGCCCCGAAUUUGGUUUAUGCCACCGCGCAAGAAAUGGCGGAUGCUAACGUUAGCAACCAGAAGUUCAAUAUCUCCUGGAUGUUUAAAGUUGAUUCGGGUUUUCGGUAUUUAGUUCGGCUACAUUUUUGUGAUUUUAUCAGCAACAAUACAAGUAAUCUCGUGUUCAAUGUCUAUAUGAACAACGAAUCUGCGUUGAGCUCAUUUGGUAUAUUGAGCAAGGCUGAGCUGUCGACUGCUUAUAUUGUGGAUUUUGUACUGAAUGUUCAGAUGGAAACAGAUAAGAUUUUAGUUCAAAUUGGGCCACCACAAAUCAUGAAUGUGGCGCCAAAUGCGAUUCUUAAUGGACUUGAGAUUAUGAAGCUCAGUAAUCAGGACAAGUACCUCGACGCAUCUCAUAUCGUUAAUAAUAUCAGUUUUGAGGCAUCAAAGCAAAAUAAGAGAUCAACAACACUUCUAAUCACAUUAACUGCUGUGGGAGCAGCUCUUCUGGUUUUCAUUGUUGCAAUGUUAUUACUGUGUUACAGGCAUUACAGUAAUAGUAAUAAGAAGAAGAGCCCUUCUUUAACAUGGCUGCGUUCCUCUAUUGCUCCCAAUUCACAGGCGAAUAACUCCAAUACAAAGAUAUCCACCCGCAGUUACUUUUCGUCGGGGCCAUCUCUAGGAUUAGGGCAACUAUUGGCAUUCUCGGAAAUAAAACAGGCUACUAACAACUUCGACGAGAAUCUAGUUAUAGGUGUGGGAGGUUUUGGUAAAGUGUACAAAGGAGUAUUAGAGAAUGGCAUUGUAGUCGCGGUGAAGCGAGGAAACCCACAAUCCCAGCAGGGAUUAAUAGAGUUUCGUACAGAAAUAGAAAUGUUAUCCAAGUUACGCCACCGCCACUUAGUUUCCCUUAUUGGGUACUGCCAUGAGCCCAACGAGAUGGUCCUGGUCUACGAGUUCAUGGCCGGUGGGCCCCUUCGCAAACAUUUGUAUGGCUCGGAUCUUCCCCCACUCUCAUGGAAGCAAAGGCUUGAAAUUCUCAUAGGAGCAGCUAAAGGCUUGCAUUAUCUCCACACAGGAGCUGCUGAAACUAUCAUUCAUCGAGAUGUUAAAACGACUAACAUUCUUCUCGAUGAGAAUUUUAUAGCUAAAGUUGCCGAUUUCGGCUUGUCCAAGUCAGGGCCAACUUUGGACCAGACCCAUGUGAGCACUGCUGUAAAGGGAAGCUUUGGCUACCUUGAUCCUGAGUAUUUUAAAAGGCAGCAAUUGACUGAAAAGUCGGAUGUUUAUUCUUUUGGAGUUGUUCUAAUGGAGGUAUUAUGCGCGAGACCUGCAAUUAAUCCUGCACUUCAUAGAGAUCAGGUGAACAUAGUGGAGUGGGCGAUGAGCUGGCAAAAGCGCGGACUCUUAGAGCGGAUAAUCGACCCCCAUCUUGUGGGUAGUGUUAGUAUUGGCUCCAUAAGGAAAUUCGGUGAAACUGCUGAAAAGUGCUUGUCAGAGUACGGUAUCGAGAGGCCAACGAUGGGUGAUGUGUUAUGGAAUUUGGAGUACGCUCUCCAAUUACAAGAGUCAUUCGCAAUAGAUGUUGAGGAGGGAAGCAGCAUAAGCUGUAUCGAAGGGCUUCCUGAAAUUAUUCCAGAAAGGGGGAAUGCGGAGCGUGAUAUGUCUAGUUUUGUCAGCGGCGGAACUGAUGCAGCAACGAGCAGAGUAUUCUCUCAGUUAAUGGAUCCAAAGGGAAGAUAGGAAGCUGCAUAGCAGUAAGCUUACUCAUUUUUCUGACGCUCGUCGAAACUUUGCUCAAUAUAGGCUUUAUGUUGUAAUAUCCUGCAGCAAAUAUCACUGAAGGGUUGUUAUUGUCGCAUAAUUACUAAAAUUGUAAACAACUAUUCUGUAAUGUGAUUGACUUGAGAAAUUCCGUCCGAUAUAAAUACAUCAAAUUUAUCUUCUUAUCUAUUUUCUUUACUGUUCUUUGUGCCAUCUUUGUCUGGAUUGCAUGAUAUAAUUUUAUCACAUCUUUGUUUUCUCCUGAAAAUCCUUUAGCCAAUAUUGAACCUUUUCUUCUCUGUUUCAGUUUAAGAACAAGGAUUCGUUGCGGAUUUUGUAGAUUGCAAUCUUUUUUAGUAACAUUCUUGUAACUUGCUCAAUUAGGCUUGGGGCUUCUAAAUGGUGCAAAAUAGUCUCUCUAUAAGUAUAUGAUGAUGGAGAAUCGAAGCAAAUAUUAUUUGAGUGAUGAUGCUAAGAUUCGCCGAAGUGAGUUAAGUUCUUUUUUAUAGAAAAAGUGAUUGUUUGAUAUUAUUUUACAUGGUAUAAUAGAGUGAUUGUUUGAUAUUGUUGGCAACAGAUAUUAUUUUACAUAGUAUCACAGCAAGAAGUCCUGAUUUUAAAUUUCGUUAAUGUGUAGUGGUCGAUAGCUAAUAGAAUUGUUAAAACUUAAACAAAUUUUUUAAUUUAACUAACUAAAGUAAAGUUUAGGGUGCUAUUUCCAAAUAUCCCAUAGUUGCGGGGUACCUUUUCAUCAAAAAGUAAACAUUCGCCGGUAGACCCGGUCCAUGCAAAUGUAGACUCGACACUCUUCGUACCACGCACCGGUGAAGAAGAAGACUCUUUCUAGGGUUUCUCUUGGGUUAAUAAAAUGGAAGCGUCGAAGCUCCUCAAGGAGAAGAGAUUCUGGAUCGCAUCCUUCCUCGUUGUGUGGGCCGCCGCUCUCCAGGUUCGGCAAAAGAAAAAACCCUAACCCUAACGCCAACCCCAACCCCUAUCUCCGAUCCUUUCCUGUUUCUCUCUAAACCCUGAUUCGAUUCCUCUCCCCUCGAAUCAUCCCCGCAGGGGCACAUGAUUUGGAUGCAGAAGCAAGACGCAUUCAAGCAGAAAUUUGGUGAUUUGAGCGAGGAAAAGGACGAGCGCGACUGAGGAUCCCGACCAAAAUCAGAUUUUUUUGUAGAUGUUCCCUGAUGAAUCCGAAUUGGUAUGUGAUGAUAAUCAUUGUUGUUUAAUCUCUUAUUUUGAGCGAUAGAAGAUAUUAAUACAAGAUGACGAACAAUGUUAGCUUCAUUUGUAGCAAAUAAAUUGUUUGUUUCGGUAAGCUUCUUGCUUUACGCUCAUCUAUGAUCUACUUUACAUGUCUGACGUAUAGUUAUUCUGUGUGUUCUUCUGUCACAUUUAGAUAGAGGAUUAUGUCUCAUCAUCAUCAUCAUCUGUGUUCUUCUUCUUCUUCUUCUUCUGAAGUAUUGCUGAGCAUUCAACUGUUGAGACUAAGCUACAACAUUUAUGCUGUUAUAUUACCUCUGUAGGAGAGAGAGAGAUUUCAAAGUAUAAGCAAUUGGCAUAUGGCUUCAUGUUUCAUAUGAAAAAAGAGGAUGUCACAUACUAUUUUCUUUGCAGUAACUUAACUUAAUGUUCCUUUUGUACCAUUGUGAUUAUAAUGUGGUUGAGAGCAAAACUACUUUGUUAGCUAAGGGUGUUUUUGUUUGCCGUAGUCGGAAGAGGCGGAGGUUGCGAGUUUCGGUAUGGUAGAGUAUAAAGUCACACUUUUGCGUCAUACAUAAAGUUGGGCCCGGUGGUGCUCGCAAAAUGUACUUAUUCAAUUGUUCUUCGCAAAGAUUAAAGUGCCCAUCGGCACGGGUCGUAUUCACCGUGUCGUAUCGUGUCAGCAAAAUAUCAGCACGAUACAGUUUCCGUACCGAUGAUACAAUUCAAAACUCUUUAUUUUUAAAAUUAGUAAGUAAUUUUCUUAAUAAAAUUCAAAAGAUUUGAUAAAAAUGCAUAAAAAAUAAUUGUCAUAAUCUGUUGCUAAAGAAAAUAAAUAUUUUAUACCAUUACAUGUUGGCACACAUAGCACGCAUCGGCACGGCUGGAUACGCACCGUGCUGACAAGUUUUCGGCACAAUCUCAUGUUACGGUAUUUAAAUCCUUGAUUCUCCGCAUCUGAUAUCUGAAUUCGUUGGUUUCGUCCAAACGGCUGCCCCGGUGGUUUUGAUGAGCCGAGGGACUUCUGCGCCGGAGAUCCAGUGAAACAAAUACAUUUUUAUUUAUGCGUCUCUAUCAGACAUAACCAUGACCUGAUGGGCCUGAUCUGGUCUUGAGGACGAUGAUCCGAUUCGAACGAAUAACAAUGGGGACUGAGCCCGAUUCUUUCCUUGGGGCAACUUGAACCUGGCGUGACCCAAUACGAACCCAAUCUAACUAACCGAUGAAUCCGAUCUGCGGUAAUCACGUUGGUACUAACAAUUCAUAUUUACAAACAGUUUUUAAAUGAAUAAUACAUUGAUGAUAUAUAGUUAUUUUUAACCUCUAUUAUAAUUUAUAAAUAGAUUCAGGUUACUUAAGUAUGUACAGCGAGUGACUUAUUAUGAUAGUUUGAGCCUCUAUGAUAUCCAAUGGUGCAAAAUUCAACCCAUGGAGCAAUUCAAAAUAAUUAUGUAAUUAAUUAUUCGACAUCAAAUCAGUGUGAAGCCAAGCUGAGAAAUGAGAAUCCAUGUAUUCUUUGAACAAUUAGUAUGUAAACAACUAAUUUAGUCAAUGCUCAAUAUCAUAUUAUUUAGUAAAUAAAAGCAAAAUUAGAUGCAGCCUCUUCCUAAUUAAGUAAGUUCGUGGAGAAAAGAAGCGGCCAUUUUGAGUGAUUAAGUCAUCAGAUAGAGAAAGUUUAGCUAUUUUAUUAAUAUAUGCAAUGCUUUAUUAAGUGUUGUAGUUGAAUAGAGAUUAAAAAAAAUGAAUAAAAUGUAGUACAAAAUGUGUCAAUCCCUUGCUUAACUCAUAUCGCAAUUAUGUCGGUACUAUUUGACCUUAAUCAACCAAUCAAACGGAGCCCUAAGAAAGGAAGAAACCUAAAACCAAUUGGCCCCGCUUGUUAUAACGUGGCAAUGUAUGAUUGGCCUCGAGACGUAUAGAUUAUAAUAUAUGCGUUGCUUCAUUCUUAAGUAAAGUAACAGUUAGAGUUAAUGUCAAAGUUUAGUGAUUAAAUCGCUGCGUUGAGCGGCCGCAAAUUGAAUGAAUGAGGUGAAAGGUGAUUACCAAUCUGACCAUAUAAGAUGCAAUGAAUCCAUUGUAGCCAAUCGUACAAAAUAACUUGGUAAUUUCAACACCAAUUAAUAACUUGAUUCCCAGUUUCAUGAGCUCACUUGAGAAGAAUACGUCAUUGUCUACGUCUUUUCUCUAUUUCCACUUCUUCUUUUUUUUACAUUUUUUGCCCUAUUUUAUACUACUCUGCAUAGCCUACUUGAUUCAAUUACGUUAUUAUAAUGAUCGUGAUUAGUGUAAAUAUAAGGAGUGAUUAAUUAGGGCCAUGGAAUAUAUAUAUAUGAGGAGAGUUGUUCUGGUUAACCCUUCACUGCUUAUUCUGAACUUGUAUACGAUCCUGCACAUUCAAAUAUGCAGCGACGCGACCGAAUAUUUUGUAACUAAAAAUUAAUGAAUAUAUGGGUUUUACAAAUAACCCUAAUUCAGUGAUUAAGUCCCUACAAUUCAUUUGCUUUGGCUCUUUUAAAUUAACGUCAGUGAUAGAACUUACAUUUUGUCCCACCUUUGGUGCAUGAUUUGCAUUAGCCAAUCCUCAAUUGUCAACCCAGAUCAGGGAUUAUAUUAUGUUGUAUAUGUAGGUUUGGUUCGUUAACACGAGAGUAACUUAGAUUUAAGCAUUUUAAAGUGAUAGGAUAGUUUCAGAUUUUGGUGUAAGAUAAAUUUACGGCAUAGUAUGAGAGACAUCGCCUUGAAGUUAUGAAUGCGCACAAACAAUUCUUUGCGAGGAGUUUUCAGUUGUGAACAAACAAAAUUUAGAUUGAAUGCCAAUAUAAGUUUCCUGAGUCCCAAAUACCGAAAACUUUAUUUCUAAACUUCUACUUUUGCUACAAUGCGCGCCAUUUAUAACAAAUUUAAUUAACAAAAUUAUAAUUGUCUUUUCUAAAUAAUUUUAUUCAGAUAACACUUCUGCGUAAGCUCAGAUCGAACAAAAAUCGUCUAAUUAGCAAAGUGAGCACUUUGACAUGAACCCACCUACCUACCUGUUGUUUGGUGGUUAGGGUUUAAAACUCGAAGAUUCUACAUACAAAGAAACAAUAGAAUACCAACCAUCCAAGUAGCAAAGGGCUUGGUGGUUGAAACUCGAGACCCAAGUUCGAAUCCUAGUUGAUUCAUAUUUCUUGCUAAAUUUAUUUCUAAAUGAAAUAAACGAAACGGAUAGCGUGCUACCUAUCUCUCCAAAAAAAAAAAAAAAAAAAAAAAAAAAAAAAAAAAACUGAUGUGGCCGGUUCCUACAUACAUUCUCAACUUCUCUAGAUACCACACAUGAACAAGUAUAAAGUAUGAAAGGUACAGCUGCUGCAGCAGCAAAACAGAUGUUCCCACACUCUGACAACGUAUUAAAGAUACCGACCGUCCCUAGCAUAAGUGACAAAAGAUUUAGUGGUUGGUACCUGAGGUCCCAAGUUCGAAUCCUUGUUGAUUUAUAUUUCCAACUAAAUUUAUUUCUAAAUAAAAUAAACAAAGCGGGUAGCGUACUAUCUAUCUCUAAAAAAGACAACAUAUUAAAGAUUUCCUUCAUAACAUAAUGAGUGUUUCUCUACAAAACCAAAAAAUAAAUCCGGCUAAAUUACACCUAUGAUACUCAAACUAUGAGGUGCAUAACAUUUUAUUUCUCAAACUUUUAUUUAUUAUAAUUUUUUAUUCAAAUAUUAUAAAUUAUUAUAAUAAAUUUUUAUAAUUUCACUAAAUAUUGACGUCAUUUAUUAUUAUGACAUCAUCAAUCACAACACUAUUUUUUAUAUUAAUGAUACAUUAAUAUUUACUUAAUUAAAUUAGAUUGUGAGAUUUAAUUACAAUAAUUAAUUUAAAAAAUUCAAGCAAAAAUUAAAACAUCAUACAAACCAAAAAUAUAAUUUAGCGGAUAAUAAAUAAAUACAAAAACUUACCACCCAAAUAUUGGCCUUAAGUUUUGGUCGUCGCUUCGUAUUCUAAUAUCUUAUUUGAAUGCACGUUUCACAACGUCACUUAGAGGAGCAUAAAAGUCAAAAGACCAAAAGUCAACUCUCCUUUGUUAUACUCACCCAAGUGUUCUCAUCUAUGCACACAUGUUUAAUUAAGACCCUCUAGCUAUUUAAUUAAGAGUAGUAGGAAGCUUCCCUGAAACGUGUAAACCUCUCCUGUCUUUUUAACUUGUCGAAAAAGAAAGAAAGAAAGAAAGAAAGAACCAAACAAGGGUCGAAUGAAUCUACGUGGUCAAUCAUUAUCCACAACAACACCAAGUUAUUGAAAAAUGUAGUGUAGAGUUGGUCCACACCUACUACUCUUUUAAGACUCAUUUUACACUGGCCAAGUAGAAUAAGGUGUUCGCGCUAACAUUUGGGUGGACCUGCUCUAGAACAUUCUCAUCCUUUCUUUCAAUAUCUUCGUAGAUCACAUACACGCAGGUCGGAUUACAACCUAUACUCCAUAAGCCUUUUGAGUGUUGUGAAGAAUAUUUUUGCUAUGUGAAGUGGAAGUUUUAAUUUAAAUUUUCUCCUUUUCGGAUGCAGAGGCAUGAAUUUGAUUGUAGAAUCAGUAAUAUUAUGCUCUGAAAAGGAAAAUUAUUUUUUGCACAUGAUAUAUAUACAUCGAUCAAUACCACUCAGAAGAUCGGAUUGUUAGAUUUAAAAUAUGAGAUGAGAUAGAGUACGGAGAGGAAACAGUGCACAAAUAAAAUAUGCAAAGGCACUGCACUGGGUGCAAUUAAUAAUUUGACUCUAUUUUGUUUCAACAAUUUUUCGGUGACUUCUCGAGUACUAAAAAGAUCGUGUUUGGUUUUUCAACAUCCUCGUCUUUAUCCCCUGAUUAAACACCCCGACAAUUAAGACCAAGAAGCAGUUUUUUCCACUUCUAGAAAAAGCAGCAACUACCCCAGCUUUUUUUUAUCUAUAUAUAUUUUUAAGAUAUUAUGUAGUUUCACAUUUUUUUAAUUUAGUACCAUAUAUAAUUUAAAGUGUAUCAAUUUAGUAUUCUAGAUUUUUUUUUUCUUUUCGUCAGCCUCUCUGUUAACUUUUUAUUAAAUUAUAUAUAAAAAAAUACAGAUAUUUCACCUAUAAUUUAUCAAAUAUUUAUUUUAAUAUCUUUUAGUUUUACCUUUAUUACUGAUUUAAUAAAAAAAAAUUAGUGAACAAAAUAAUAAAAAAUAAAAAAUAAAAUAGGGUACGAAAGUAUUAUACUUUAAAUGAUAUAAUACUGAAGUAAGAAAGUAAGAAAAUAUAUAAGGGGUGAUAUUUAAAGUGUUUUUUUUUUUAUAAAAAAGACAGCUUCUGAUUACGGCGACUCGCGAUCGUUCGCGCUUCCCCUACCCUCCAAAGCAACGAACUCUUUAAUCAAACCUUUUAUUAGCAGCCACAAUAAUAAUAAUAAUAAUAAUAAUAAUAAUAAUAAUAAUAAAAUUAUAAAAAGGUCCAAAACUUUUUAAGCCAAUAGAAUAUGGGCCCCAGAUUCUCUGUCUCAACUCUAAGCAAAGUUGAAGUUUUGCACCCUCCCCAAACUCCUUAUAAAUACGCAGCCCCCGUGCCCCCACUCUUUUACUCCUCAAUCCAGUUAUUAUACUCCAACGUAUAAUUGUUUAGUUGAAUACAUUAAAAAAAAUGAAGAGGCAUAGGUUUCCUGAUCGGGAAGUAGGCGAGGUGGAGGUGGAGAGCAUCAACAUGGCCAACAUGUUGAUGUUCCUCUCGCGGGGCGACGGCGGUGGCGGUGGCAGCGGCUACGGCGGAGGCGAAACUGAUAGUAAUUCGCAAAGAGUGUUCGAGUGCAAGACGUGCGGGCGGAGAUUCCCGUCGUUCCAGGCGCUCGGCGGACACAUGCGACGGCACCGCGCUGCUGUGGCGGCGGCGGAGGAAGAGGUGGAAGGGUGUGGAAAUUUCAGAAUUGUUCUGGAANUUCCAGGCGCUCGGCGGCCACCGCGCCAGCCACAAGAAGCCGAGGCUGUCGGGGGACUCUGCGGAGGCGGCGGAGGCCGCGGUCGCGAAGCCGAGGGUGCAUGAGUGCUCCAUUUGUGGGCUCGAGUUCGCUCUGGGCCAGGCGCUCGGCGGACACAUGCGACGGCACCGCGCUGCUGUGGCGGCGGCGGAGGAAGAGGUGGAAGGGUGUGGAAAUUUCAGAAUUGUUCUGGAAAAGAAACACGAACGCAAAGGAGAAGAUGAGAAACGGGGGUCGUGGCUCGACUUGGACCUCAACAUGGCGCCUCCGUUGGUGGAUUUCUUUCAUUAAUUUGCUAAAAAUUCCUUUUUUUCCCUUUUUUUUUUUCUUCUCUAUCAUUUUUGAUACGGUAUUGUACCUGAGCUGAGUUCUUUUUUUUUUUGUUUAACAUCUCCCCACACUUUUAAAUUUUUAUUUAACAUCUCAACAUGGGUCGGGUUUGAAUUUCGGUAACUACUUAUUGGACCCAGAAUCCCAAUUUGUUAUCAAAAUUUUAGAUUGUUUUUUUUUUUUUUUUUGUUCAUUUGACUCCAGGAUAGAGCGGCUUUUCACGUAUGUACGUAAUCGUGUCGUGGCACUAUUUGAGAGUAAUACAAUUUUAUAUUAUUAUUAUUAUUUACUGAUAACUUGGGAUAAGAAUGAGAUUAUAUUACAGCUGAGCACGAGAGUGAUCCAAUUUUGCUUAAUUUAUGUCUAUUUAUUUAAAUUGUAAUUUUAUUAUUAUUAUUAUAUUUUACUAAUACAUAGCAUAAUAAAACACAACUGAGAUUAUUGGUCGGUGCAAGCGAAGAUGAUAUACGGAGCUAUUUGAUUAGCGUUUUUUUUCCGAGAAAACUCAUUGUUCAUUAAAUUUCGAAUGCAUAUUCAAUUUUGUUUUAAAGUUUAUUAUUGUUGUAGAGGGCACAAAGGCUGUAAUUCAAAAGAGCAGCUUUAUAAUCCAAAAGUUAAGUUUUCUAGAAUAGAAAAAAGUUCUCACUUUUAUUUGUCAAGCGUUUUGCAAGUUUAGAUCAAUAAAAUUGUUCUAGAAAACAAAGUACAUAUUAAGCGCCUGUUUAGUGAAGGAACACUUCUUUGUUUAAGAAAUAGAAUUUAGACUUCUAAGCAAAAUUAUGCAACUUGAGAUUCAUGUACCCCCAAAAUUCUUAAAAUUCCAAUUUUUGAUAAAGAAUGAUGUUCCAAACAAGAGAAAGAACUAGAAGAAAAAGGCCCCAAAUCACAUUAAGCUUUAUAUAACUGUUUAUAUACUCCACAUUAAGCUCCCAUAUCCUUUCCUUUUUUGGUCAUUUUUUUGAACUUUGCCUUUUAGGCUUCAUUUGGUAUUGCGGGGAGAUUGCGUUACGUGCGGUGAAAAAUGACAGUUUCUCGAUGAAAAAAUAUCAUAUUUAUUUUCGUACGUAAUAUUGCGUUUCGCAUACCGCGAUGAGUCGGUUACGAUAUAUUUUCUGCGGUCCCACCAGAAAACGCAAUAAGCAUACCCCUAUAUGCUUCUGCUUCCUCAGUAAAAACCAAAAAAAAAAAAAGAAGAAAAGUGGGGGUAAACUUAUACACCAAGAAUAAACAGGCUACAACCUCCUCGAGGUAUUAACAUUGUCAAGCAUUCAACAGUGGAGAGAGUUAGCAUAAGGCAGCAAUAAGAACAAGCACAGAAAACGCCAACAGGAUUAUGCUGCCAAAAAAGAAAUGUAGUUUUAAAACAAGAUAAUAUUUAUUGCCUCGGCAAUCGGCAUCACAUGAAAUGUACAGGUAUAAACUCUCCAACGACGAAAGAAACACCGUCAACAGCAGGUGUUACUCGUACACAUUCAAAGCACACACGAGCAAAAUAUGUGCUCGAAAACAAGUGUGUUUGUUAAAGGGUACGUAAGUGAAAAAGUCCAAAUAUAGUCAUUGGUUUUAUUUCCAGAAAACCAGAUUUUUUUUCUCGGAAGAAGAAACUUCAUUAAUAAGGACACUUGAUCGGCUCGGGCUGCAUCGCCUUCCUCACGAGCCCUGCUUGCUCCUGCUGAUGAACAGACAAGAAUCCAGUGGCCGUAGCAGCAGAAGGCGCCCUGCCCACAUAUUUUAUGUCCUCGAAAGAACCACGGCCGAGCGCCCGCAUGGCGGUACAUAGGCGAGGGGUGAUGUAAUUGUACGCCCCCAUGUUCAUCGGCUCUUCUUGGCACCACACAAUCUCUGCAUCUGGAAGAGAAAAAGGAGAAAAGAAAAAAAAAGGCGGGUCAAUCAAUUCAUCCAUACUUCCAAAAAAUAUUAUUUAGCAUGUUUGGCUACAAAUCUCUGAAGUGUCUUUAGACCUCAAAUAAAGGAUUAAAUUUUGAAUGGAAGAGCAAAAACAGCUUCCUCCUCCAUCGAGCUGAUAUAAUAGGACUAAGAUCAGAAUAACAUAGACAUAUUAUUCCAUCAUAUACCAAAAGGAAAGCGUAAGGUUCUAAUAGGACCUCCUAUGUUCUUUUAUUAGGAUGGGAACACUCCAAUGGUAUAAUCAUUAGUUCAUAUGAUGAAAGUGGCCCACACCAUCUCUUGUUAGCAUGUUUUUUAUUGUAAUCUUAAUAGUCAAAACGGCUCCAAUUUUCCAUAGAACAUGAAGAUUUAUAUUUGUUAGGAGAAAAAGCUAUAACUAACAAGAAAAUUUAGCAAACAAUGGCUGCCAAAACUGCACAAAGUUAUUUGAUAUAACAGGCAUAGAAUGUCAACAUUUCUGAAAUUUCAGUGUAAUGUAGCUUGUUUUGUGCCAGUUGCAAGUGUGCAUGUUCCUAGCGUCAUUAGUUAAAUCACCAAAAAUAUAGUGUAAGGCAUCGUACUUGGAUAUCGCUUUAGCUCUCUCUGAAUGAGGUCAUAAGGGAACGGACAAAGCUGCUCAACUCUACAGAUUGCAACAUCAUUCCGUUCAGUUUUCUUCCGCUCUUCAUCAAGCUCAUAGUACACCUGAAAGUGACAAAACAUUAGCAUUCAGUCCACAGGCAAAAAAAAACGAAAAAAAAAAAAAAACAUUUAUUAACUCACUCUUCUAAGCUGUUGCUAAGAGAAAUUCAUGAGAUCACAGUUUACAUACCUUCCCAGAACAUAAUACCAGACGGUUAAUUCCCUCCUCAACCUCUUUGUGAUCAUUUCUGUCCUUGAUAAGGCGCUUGAAGCGUGUCCCUUGCGUAUCAAAUCCGGGAUGGCCCUCCAUAUCAUCGAACUCAGAAAGGUGGGAUUUGCAGUCCUUGUGCCGAAGAAGAUUUUUGGGAGCCAUAACAACUAGAGGUUUCCGGAACUCCCUGUGUAUCUGGUCAUCAUCCAGAGAUUGUGUAGGCUCAAAUCUCUCUCCUUUCUUUAUGUUUUUAAUUUUCAUAUUUAGUUUUUUGUUAUAAAUGGUUAGAAGGAAGGAUUGUCUAUCCCGAUAGUGCAACUUAGGCCCAGGACUGUUUGCUUAAACACUCGUAGUUAUAGAACUUUCUCAUAUAUUGUAAAUACAUUCUUCGCCUCUGGGUGGGGGGUUGGGGGUUGGGUUUGAAGUUAAUCAUUUUACAGAAGGGUAAUUGGUUAUUUUACAAGGAAAAAAAAAGAUUUUCAUUUAAUGAGAAGUUCACAGACUGAGUUGCAAUAUGGCUACAAGGAUUAUCCUUCAUUCUAUCCUAAAAGGUGAAUACUAACCUGACGCCUCAGAACAUGGAAAUAAUUAGCAGGUGUUGUCACAUUCACAACUUGCCAAUUACACUCCUGGAUCUGCUUUCUUAGAGUUGGUUCCAUCUCGGGUAUCACAUAAGGGUUAUCAUCGCUCAUCUGCAAGGUAGUGUUAUAAGUCCUCGUAUAUGAGAAGCCCAGUAGUAUUUCUCAAACAAUUAUAAAAGACAUAAAAGGUUAAGCCUGAAUUCAAUGGAAGACUUUUCCUACGUUAAUAAUAUUGUGGUAUUGUAACCAGAAAACAUCAUCUUACAUGAGAUAAAGAAAGAGAAAAGUUAAAAAGAUAAGAGAUUCAAAAGGAUUUGUCAAAAUAAAAUAUCUGAGGGAUAAUACCUUUUUCUUACCAUAUCAGAGUCAAGAAAGAAUAACUAAGAAGAUAAACGCGCACAUAAGAGUGGCAAUAAUUGUGAUCAAUUGGAUGAAAAUUUCAAUUCAAUGAACAAAGUUGUUUAGUGGUCAUGUAAAUACCUGAAGGAAACGUUCCAAACGUGCACUAGAAUGUUCUGGGCCUUGACCAUCAUAGCCAUGAGGCAAUAACACCACAAGCCCAGUUUGGCGCAACCACUUUGCCUCUCCACUACUCAUAAACUGGUCAAACAGUACUUGAGCACCAUUGGAAAAGUCACCAAACUGAGCUUCCCAAAGAAUUAGAGAAUUAGGGUUUUCCAUCGAAUAGCCCAUUUCAAAUCCAAGAACUGCAAAUUCUGAAAGAGAGCUGCAUUCCAAUUGGAGGGUCAGCAAAAGUCAUCCUAAAAUUGAUCGCUUUCAAAUCAUAAAGUUGCUGCAGUCCACAAGACCACAACAGUGUCUGAACUAACAAAAGAAUCUUUUCACUCAGUUCAAAACCAAUGAAUUUCUUUACAUGGAAAAGCACUCAUUAUUAUAAGUAACCACAGUAGGUAUGUUACUGAGAAAAUGUGACAGGAAAGAGUAAAUCCAAGAGCAAAUAUUUUCUUAUUCAAAAGAUAGCUUAGAAUCUCUAGAAGAUACAUUUAGAUCAAUAGAAGAAAUUGCCAUAUAUUGGUUAGUCUAGCAACUUUUUCAUGAAACUGAACCAACCAUGUUGAGUCUUUCUAUCUAUGACAUGGAGUUCAAUACUCACAUCAGAUAAGCAGAUAAGCACAUAUCAAUGAAAUUUUGUCUACAUGCUGAUCAAAAUUUCUGAGAUUGACUACACUCAAUGUCAGUUUCCAAUUUUAAAGCGCUUGAGCAUCCACUGAGACGAAAUGGAGGUAAAACGAUUACCUUGGUAGCAAAAAUGCACCACAAUCUAAAGUAAUUAAUGUUGAUAUGUGACACCCAUAGAUAUACUAGAGGCCAGAAUCGGAACAGAAUUAUAUACCUGUUACUAACAGUGAACAGCUCCUCGUUUUGGUUCAUCAGAAUAUGAUCCAGAGGACAGUACUCUUCGCCUGUCUCUUGGUCAUGAAGCACUGAAUGCCGAUGACUAAAUGUACCUCUUUCGACAUCUUGGCCACUCAACCUAACAUGAUUGCCUUCCACUAUAAGAGUCGCAAAAGCAAGUGCCUCAGCAAGUGCCCAGUCAAUUCCCUCCCCAGUUUCAAUCAUCUGAGCACGCUGCUCAAAAAUCUUCUUCACUGCUCUGUGAGGCUUGAAAUUUUCAGGAAGAGUUGUAAUGGCUUGCCCAACACGUUUCAAUAUCUCAGGUUUGACCCUGCAUGUAGAGCAGUGGCAUAAGACCAAACGAAGAAAGGCUUUACUAUGAUAAGAAAGCUAGCUACAUCAAGACCAGGUCCUACCCAGUGUUUCGUAUACGUGAAAUCUGUUCAGGUGACUUGAAUCCUGUCCAAUAAGCAGAAAGCCAGUCCCUCCGCUGAGGUCUGUAGUCUUUGCUGUUUUCAAACUCUUUAUUCAGGAUUGAAUGUAUUUUGUUGUGGAUCUCUUGAAUUCGUUCUCUGGAGAUAUCCCCUGAUUCUAGAAGUUUAUUCUCAUAAAUUUUACGGGCGCUUGGAUGAUCUCGAAUAACCUAUUUUGGCAGAAUAUUCGUUAAUGUCAGCUUUAAAUUCAAAUUUAAUACUCAAUAAUUGCUGAGCUAAAGCAGUAGGCGGAGAAGAAAGUAUGUGAGGAAAGAUAUGAAAUCGCAGAAGAUAAUAGACAUUGUUUUAUUAGGUUAAAACCAGAAAAAGAAUUGAAAAGGUGCAAGGGAACAUCACCUUAUACAUCUUAGGCUGUGUAAAGGAGGGUUCGUCAAUUUCAUUGUGUCCAAAUCGUCGAUAGCAAACUAGAUCCACGACCACAUCAGAAUGAAAUGUUUGUCGCCACUCUGCCGCAAGCUCGCAUACAUGAACCACCGCUUCUAUAUCAUCACCAUUUACAUGAAAUAUCGGAGCAUUUAAGGCCUUAGCAACAUCCGUGCAAUAUUGAGAAGACCUCCCAGCCCUUGGAUCAGUAGUGAAGGCAACCUGAUUGUUAACUACGAUAUGAAUAGUUCCACCAGUUGUGUAAUUUGGGAGGGCACUUAGAUGGAGCGUCUCAUAAACAACACCCUGACCAGCAAAACUUCCAUCUCCAUGGAUCAGCACCCCCACGUUCUUUAUCCUAUCAUUAUCGUUAGAAUAAAAUUGUUUUGCCCGUGUCUUGCCAACCACAACUGGAUCGACAGCUUCCAAAUGACUUGGAUUGGCAACUAAAGAUAGAUGAAUUCUUUUCCCACCUCUAGUGGGCCUAUCAUAUGAGGUACCCAAAUGGUAUUUCACAUCCCCGGUCCCAGUAUACAACCCAGUUUCCCCAUCCACCGGCUUUGUGCCCCCACUAAACUCGCUAAAGAUCUGGGACAAUGGCUUCCUAACAACAUUGGCCAACACAUUGAGCCUCCCUCUGUGAGACAUACCAAUGACAAUGCUCUCCACUCCCAUAUCGGCAGCUCGAUCAAACAUCUCUUUCAUUCCUGGAAUCAGGGUUUCGCCUCCUUCGAGCCCAAACCGCUUCGCUGCAGCCCAUUUGGUAGCCAAGAAAUUCUCAAAUUCUGUGCUCCAGCUGAGCCUAUCAAGUAUGACCUCACGUCGCUCACGAUUGUAGGACCUCGGGUUCACGGCCUCAAUCUUGUCCCUAAGCCAAUUACACUUCUCUCUAUCAGGAAUAUGCAUAUACUCGUAACCAACAGUCCCACAGUAAGCCUGCUCCAGCCUGUUUAGAAUCUCUCUAAGAGUUUGCACGGGCCGAUUCUCCGAUAAGAAACCAGCCAUCCUCCAAACCCCGAGGAAGAACUCUCGGUCCAGGUCAGCCUCAGUGAAUCCAUAAACACUCAAGUCGAGAUCUUCAGGGAUCUCUCGCUUCUCCAACCCCAAAGGAUCCAACUUGGCCUUCAUGUGGCCAUUGACCUGAUAAGCCCUAACAAGUAGCAACAAUCUCAUGCUCUCCUGAAUAGUUUGACCGGAGAUCCCAGGAGAAGUAGAGGCUUGGCCAACAAAGUUCCUGAAGAAGUUAUCCCACGAUUCAUCGACGCUGCUCGGAUCGGCUUCCCACGCGCGCUGCAGCUCCUCCAAGUAGACGCUGCUGGUGCCAUCGAGGAAGCUGUCGGAGAGCCGCGAGAGAGGGACGGCGCGCGGGACCGGGGCGGCAGAGGUGGACUUGGAUCGGACAGCGGAGGAGUGGAAGCCCCGGGACGGAGGAGGAGGAGGAGGUAGGUGAUGGAUCCGAGCAGGGUAAUGAGGAGCUCGAGCGAUGUUUCUCCGCAUGGCGAGUCGAGCAGCGCUCGACGCGGCACGAAACCACGCCAUUGCGAUCGAUCGAUCGAUCUACAGCCCAAGUUCUACGACAACAAGAGAUUACAACCCAUAUCGUACUAUUUUAGCUCAAAAAAUGCCAAAAAUUCGCAAAAAAAUGAGCAAAAAACACGAUGGACAAAAACUUGAGAUAUUUUGACGCCAUUGUUGGAGUAAUCUACGAGAGAAAAAGGAGAGAGCGAAGGCGAUGAGAUCGUACCUGAAAACCCUAAACCCUAACCCUAGCAAAAGGAACGAAGGGGGAUUCGUUACAGUGGCACCGGGCUCACACCGGAGGAGGCAAAUGAGGAAACGGCGCCGCCCCUCUCUCUCUCUUUAUUGCGUUCAAAGCUUCCUCACCUUUUUCAGGAUCUCUAUUUACACCCCUCAUUUUACAAUAUCCGCGCCGGGGUUGCUCUCCUUCCAUUUUGCGAGCGUAGAGAAAAUGGGGAAUAUUGAAAUAAAAGGGUGGCGUAUAUCAGGGGGGGCGACUCGGUUGGUGCGUGCGAGCUAUUCAAACGGGAGGCUCAUAGGAAUGAGCGCACUUGAAAACGUGAUGAUGAUUGCGAAGUAGAAGUCGGUGCCGGGUCCCAUGAUUUGGCCGAAUUCUGUUAUUGCAUCUUAAAAUCCGGGGCCACUUCAAUUUGCAUCGGAGUCGAAGCGGUCUCGCUUAACAUGGACCCGGGUUAGGAUUCAAACUCGACAAUACGGCCCGUUAAUGGUCUUGUUUCCACAAGUUAUUCCAUGCACCCGGAGCACCACGUAUUAUACUCCGGAAAUUCCAUUAAACUUAAAAAAAAAAAAAUCAGAAUUUCAUUUUACCCGGUGUGUUUUGCCGAUAUGCAAAAGGCUGGAUCCGUCCAAAAUCACAAAUUACGGAUACCUGUUCUUAUAUAAAUUGAAAAAUAUUGUUUCUUCCUAUAUUAGUGAUAUUUAGGAUAUUUUAAUGUCUAGAUAAUAGAUAUUCAAAAAGUUAUAAUUAUUUAUACAUGUAGAUUUUUUAGAUGCUAUAAAAUAUAUCUACUUUGUUGAAAUUUGAAUUUAAGUGCAUAAAAUAUACUAAUACAUCGGGCACCUGAAUUAGGGAAAAUGUUUUGCCGUGCAAGAAGAAGCAUGACUGGAUACAAUCCUUUUGAGCCUCAAAAGUUGUCUUGCUUAAUGGACCUCUUUUUUAUUUGCCUCUUAGUUUGCGUAAUAGUCAUCUCUAGUCACACAUGAUUAGAAAACUCAAAAUUUGUGCCAGCAAUUUAUGCAUUCUAAGAAAACGUUUCCCAUCGUUUGUGAAGCAGUAACCCUUCUAACGGAAAAAAAAUUUAGUAUAUAUAUCAGUCAUAUCAUAUUAUUUAUUAAUAAUUAAUUAUAUAUUUUUUGAGUAAAAACUAUAAAAAGAAUGUUUUUUUAAUAAUUAUGAUAAGAUGUGUGAAUUCAAAAAGAAUAAUCUGAUUGAUUGAUGACACUAUAUCAAUAAUAAAAUUGAUGUAUUUUAAAUUUUUUUCCUCUAGCCUAGCACCCAAGUUGCAACAUGGAUAUGGGGGCAACACAAAUAUUUCGUUGCACUUUGACAAUUGGCUUAUCUGCUCCACUGAACUAUAAAGUUGAUUAGUCAGCGCCGAUUAUGUAUUUUUCUAUUAUUUUUUAUAUAUAGAGAGAGAGAAUUUAUGGGUUCUUGGCAGUGAGCAAUGCAAAAGCGAAAUCGUACUAAAAUAUACUAUAAGAUAUAUUUGAACAUACAGUGAAUGUUUUUAAUUAUGAUAAAAAUUAGAGACUAGCUCAGUUUAUAUGCGAAGCAAAUACCAAUAUCACAACAUCAACUUAAUUUUGUAUUAAAUAAGCAAAGAAAUAAUUGAGAUUCAUAAUCCCCUUUUUUUCUGAUUGGGCCAUGGCCUAGUAUUGUUUUAGGCCGGGCCAAAAUUAUACCUAUGUAGGCCUAAAACUCAAUGGGCUAUUCAUUGUGGGGCCCAAAUUAAAAAAUAUCGCAUUGGUCACGGGUGACUCAGUGACACGAACUCGGGUUGGGCCCGUUUUGGACCCUACCACAUUUACUUGCUUCGCAUCGUCCUUGAGAGCGAAAGAGAUAAAAAAACCCUCGCCCGCACCUGCAUAGCCCUCGCGAAUCCAAAAAGGGGAAGGAAAAAAAAAAUAUCGCGAUGGCGUCUCCCCCGCCCCCUUCGUCCCCGAUCGACACACUCUUCCUCCAAACCCUAAUGAGUCGCCUCCAACUCCGCCCCCCGUUCCUCGACACCAACUCCUUCCUCACCCAAACCCUAGACGACUUCCUCCUCCACGGCGCCGGCGACGACUCCGAUGAUCCCGACGACGACGAUGACGACGAUGGCGGUGCCGCCUCCGCCGCAGGGAGCAAGGAGGAGAGAAACCGCCGCGCCCUCGCCAAGGAGGAGGCGAAGCUCGAGAGGGAGAUCAUCCGCAUCGUCCACUCCGGCGACUUUCUCGAGGCCCUCAAGCCCAACUCGGGCCAAUCCGUCUCCAUCGGCGACCACAACAUCUGCGUAGGGUUCCACGAGGACCCCGGUUCCGAGUACCGCGUGUGGGAGUGGCACGGCCACGUGAUGCUCUUCGACGAGGAAGAGGGGUACUCGGCCGAGUACAUAUACGGGAACUACUUCGAGCGGUUGGCGGGCAAGAAGGGAGGGAGCAGAGGGAAGAAGGAUGAGGGGGGUGGGAAUUUGGGGCUUAGGGAUUUGAUCGGGGGGUCGGGCAAUUCGGUUGGAAAUGGCGGGGGCAGGGUCCUUCACCGUAACUCGAUCAGGUAAUGAGUCCCGUUUUCGUGUUACACCUACUUGAUAAUUCGAGGAGAGUAGGUAACUCCACUUCAAUGAUGGUCUUUUGCUCUCAACUGUUGGAUGAACAACAACAUUAUGCUUCUUUGCUACUGUGGGUUUCAUCCUGUUUCCUACAUGAAUUAAAAGUCUAAAAGUGAUAAAAGUACGGUACUGUUAUUUGAAUAUGUGGUUAUUUUGCAGCCUCGCGAUGAUAUCAUCUUUCUUUCUAGCUUUUGAUAUUUGUAUGAUGUUGAAGCAUUUUCAUCGAAGUUGGACAGAAUAACGAACUUUGUACUAUGUGUUAUAUUUGCUGUGUCCCAGAUAUGAUUGUUAGAAUGUCCAAAUCGUACCAUUUGCGAAUGAUUGCACACUCUUUCACCAUUAUGCCAGCUUUGUGAAACUGGAUAGAAACUAGAUGUAGCAUGUUCAGAUUUUUAAUUUUUUUUCAGAUUUUUCUUGUAACCGUCUUGUUAACUGUAGGUUAGCUCCUUUUGAACUGCCACUGUGCUUUAGACUAUCUGUGUAGGUAACUCUGCCGCCAAUCUUCGUUCUCACCUUUGCAGUGAGUAGCUUAGACAAUGAAACACCACAAAGAUGUAUCUCCUUCUCCCUAAUAUCUCGAUUUUUCCAUCACUACUUGGCUUUCUCACAAACUUCAUCUUGCUUAAGAUCCAGGCGGUUCAAAGCAUAAAAGUGGCAUCUUUCUAGUAUGGAGGUUGAAAUAUGAACAAACCUUUUGACUUCAAAUUUGAGGAAAGUUUUGAUCUGCUUUACUGACUUGAUGAUCCGAUCUGCUUAUUUCUGGAGGUAAGGGAAGGCAAUGUAGUUGGUAAUAUGUACCCUUUCCGAAACUGACUGACCCGAUCAAAUUUCAUUGGCCCUUGAUUUGCUAGCUGGCAUGAGCUCUUAUCAGCUGAAUCUUCUUCCGGUUCUCAAGCUUAUGAUUUACUUGCAUGUUAUUAGAUUCUGUGUAUAGUCUGUGAGAGGCCAAUCUGUAUGGAUUGAGACUAUGUUGUUACAUGGUAAUCAAUUAAUCAAAGUAUUAUUGUUCAAGACUCGAUCUAAUCACGUCUUUCUGUUGUAAAAUUUGUUGUUGUAUUCUUGCAUUCGCACUCUAAUUUUCCAAGGCAGUGUAAGCGCUUGUUGAUUCUGUUGAUGGUAAUGUGGAGGAACAAACCAUUGGUCGUGGAGUCAUGACAACUCCAUAUAUUCCAUAUGUUGGUGACUGUAACAUCAAUUUAUUUCAUUUUCCCCAUUUAUCCUCAUUCUCAUUAUGUGUCAAAGUUUGGUGUCAACAAUAGAAAUUUUCUUUUUGCUAAUUAAUAUGGUUCCAAGUAGCUCUCAAGGCAAUGUAUCCAGUAGAGCAAGCAUCUUAACUAAGUUGGACUGGCCUAGUUUAUAUCAUUGACUUGGUUGUCAGGUCAAAUGAGAAAGGAAGUUCAGCUAGCGUACUCUUAGAAGGCGUAAAAGUCAGCGUUCAGUGUUAGUUAUCAUACUUAAUGGAAGAGAUCAAAGAUGAAACAACUGGGAUGGUGAAAUCUUGUACUCUAACAACAAUAUUAUAUAUAUGAAUGUGGGGAUAGGGCUCAUUCUGCUUUAUUUGGAGAAACCCUAGAAAGCAUUGAAAACAAUAACUGUCUAGGUAAUUGACUGCCAAAGAUGGUCUGGUUGAGUAAUCCUGGCAGCUCCUUAUUUGCGGUUUGUACCCCAUAGUUCUAUUCAGUAAUUUGACCUAAGACACCCAAUAACAAAUAUGCUAAUGAUUAGAUGAACCAAUACGUUAGAAGGAAAACUUACAAUUAGUUUACUCCUAUAUUCAACUACAAUAAGAUGGAACUCCAGAUUUCUUCCCAUCACAUUGUAUAUUGUCCUUAACCCCCCCAUCAUUCUGUAGUUACUUAUUCAUGGAUUCCCUCACUUUAGAUUCUCAUGUGUUUCACAUUGAUUCUGUGCUGCAUUAACAUGCACAGUUUGACAUAUACCUUAUUAGUGCAGAAAUUGUUUUACUGUUUCACUUGCCAACUGUGUCUUUUAAGAAUUGUUCUAAUUGGUUAAAGCAGACAUAUACAGGAGAUUUAUGCAGUGGUGAAGCCAGCAUCACAUUUUCUUUAUGUUUUUGCUCAAAGGUUGUGGAAAGAAGCACCUCUAGAGAAUGUAUAGUAUAAGGCUGCACAAAUACGUACUUAGAUGAAGUGUAUAGUAUUAAUUUGGCGCAAAGCUCAUUCCUGCUAACGAGCAUUGCCCUAUGUUGCUAAAGAAAGACUAAAUUUGCUCUUGUUUGUUGAUAGUCAAGCUAUUUGGUAGCAACUUAUGUGCAAAAUGACUUGUUAGAGACAAGAAAAGUGCAUUAAGGGUCGACAUAGAAUGACUUGCAUAUAGCAUGCAAGGCUGUAUGUACAGAAUUUCUAUCAGUCCAUAAAAUUAAGCUUAGCAAUAUGACUAGCACAAAUAGGAUUUACGAUCUAGUUAUAGUAUGGCUAUAACAGUCCUGUGAGAAACUGACAGUGAUGUUUGUUUUAUGGUUUUAAUUAUACGCGUUGAAGCCCAUGUAAAUUGUAAAGCAAAGUCUGCCUAUGCAGUAUGCACCUAAUAUGAAAAGUUACAUGGUGAUUAAAGACUUAAAUCUCUACGUAUUUGAUAUGAGUUUGUCUUAUGGAGAUUUGCUACAUGCUGCCAUUUGUAGCUGAGCUGUAACAUCACUACAUCAGUAUAUGUUAGGCUCUAACUUAGGUAUGCUGUCCACUCAAUAAAGCGAUAAAUCUCUUAAAAUAGACUCCUAAAAAUUUAUGCUCUACGAGAAGAAGGAUAUAUUACUGAAUUCUUGAUAGAGAAGGUUGAUAUGAAAUAUUAUUCUGUGUAGCAUGUAAGCUUUGCUUCCUUUGAAUCUAAUGUUUUUUGGUGGGCAUCUUGCUUAAAGUGUUUUGAUCUGUCAAGAUGCCAGGUCAAGAUAGUAAAAGAUCUACAUCAUUUUUCUUUUUGGAUAUAUUUCAUAUUCAUCUUGUUUGAUUUGACACUGCUUUUUCGAGUACGAAAUGAUGCUAAUUUUCCAUAUAUUGCCUAUGCUCACACCCAGAUUUGUCUCUGCUAAAUAAUUACACUAACACUAAGCAGUGCCAUACUUGGCUGCUACUGCUCUCUUUUCCUUUUUCUCAUAGCAUUUGUGAUGCAUUAGAGAAUCAAUUUGUUGGUUUUCGUUUGCUGUAACUUUUUCCUGGAAUUUUUCUUCUGCUUCAAUGAUGUGUUAUGACUUGAGUGGAAUGAUGUGCUAUAUGCUAUUUGCACACUUUUUGUCCUUUUAUUCCUUUAGUCGAAGUCUAAUAUAGGCACCUUUGCUAAUCGCAUAUUUGAACCAGCAUAUUCUUUCUAAUCAAAUAUUUAUGAGAUUUAACAGGUUGUAUGAAGUAGAUGGGAUUAAUUAGAGGGUAAUAUAGGCACCUUUGCUAAUCGCAUAUUUGAACCAGCAUAUUCUUCCUAAUCAAAUAUUUAUGAGAUUUAACAGGUUGUAUGAAGUAGAUGGGAUUAAUUAGAGGGUAUUCUAGUUUAGUUUCCGGAUCUAAUUUGUGAAUGUUAUGCAGAUGAUGCUAGACCAACCAACCUCAUAUGCCAUCUCAUCAUAUAAAAGUGAUGAUAAUGUGGUAAAUCUUUUGAUCGCUCCUCAUUGAAUCUAUUCAGAUUACUUGGCUCUCAUAUCACAUCAAAAUAAUGAGCCUCCAAAAAUUCCAAGGUCGUCUAUCAUCAGAUGAUAUAUCUUAUGCCUCAGAAUAUUAAACAGUUCGCAUGUUAAUCUAUUCUGUGCUCGUGUCUAAUUGAUCAGUGAGCUGUUGAGUUACUAGCUCAAAAUACUGAGAGGGGACCAGUUGAAUUUUUUGUUAAUGCAGGCCCUUAAAGUCAACUAGAGGAAUUUCUAGACAUACGCCUUCUAUAUAUUUUUAUUUUUUAUAUUUUUUGCCGGUAAGUGAGGUCAUGCAGAAGCGAAGUUUUAAUUAGAUAGAAUAAGAUGAGAGAACAAUAUCAAGUCGGUGCAUGAGAGUUUAGCUACUUGUAGAGGUGAGGGUUAGUAGAGAGAGGUUGUGUCCUCUACUAGUUGUGGCUUCUUUGAUUAUUUAUUCGAUCCAAUCCUAAAUACCAAAUGGGUACUCAAAAGUCCACUUAAAUUAUUCAUCUACCUCAACAUGCGACUUGAUGAGUGCACGCCAAAUGUAGCUAUAGUGGGAAGCACAUUGUUCAUCUGAUCGAAGACAUGACACAGGUGCUCCUUUGAAAGCGAUUAGAGAUUAAUAUAUAGCUCUUAUUCUUUGAACUGCACUUACUCGAUCAUAUUAUACUAUAAUAAUAAUAAAAGGGACUACUGUGUUUCAACACUUUUAAACUGCUCACAAAGCCAAGUCCAGUAGAUCAAACUAUUACUUGAUCGGCAAUUAGUUUCUGUUCCUCAUCGCCGCAUGAAUUAAUAAGUCGAAGCGGAGUCAAAGAUGCGCACUCAUAUGUAGCCUCAUUUGCUGCGUAUAAGGACAUACUUCGAAGGGGUUGAAGACAAAGUGUACCAACCUGGACAAUGGACAUAAUAAUAUAUAUACCCUUUUUGUGUGAUGAUUAAUUGAGCAUAAAGGAGUUGGAAAGUUUACACAUGUUUGUUUUAUAUGCAUGCUUAAAACAGAAUGUUAGACGACAAGGGCUAACUGACCUUUGACCUUUCACGCACAAAUUUGUCAACCAUUUAUUAAACUAUUGCCAUGUUUGAUAAGCGGAUCAUGUGCUAAUGUGAUCAUCAAAACAUAAAAAAAAAUUUUAAAAAAAGGGGUUAAAACUUUGACAUUUUGAGGAUGUGCAUGCCCUAGAUGUAGACUUGGAAAUAACAUAGACGACAUUAAAUGAAAUUUGGACUCCAAUGAGAUUCCACUCAGAAACGUUUAUUUUAAUGCCAUAUGAACAAGGAUUGUUCUAAAAAGCUAAAACUACAUACAUCGUAAUUAAUAAGAAGCAUAACUUCUGAGGCCUGAGCAGGAAUAGCAGCUGAAAAAGUUGUUCUAAUUGGUAAUAUUAUAUGGACUUCUUCAACUGAGUAAAUAGAGUUAUAAAUAGAGGAUCAUGUGACUAAAUCUAGGCAUAUAGCUUUUCCUAUAAAUACCGUAUAAGUAGCCUGUGUGGAUUUUUAUUUAUGUAGAAAUUAAGCACGUAGGAAAACCCCAAGAAAGAAAAUAAUAUAUAGCUAGUAAUGAUACUUUAUAAGGGAAACUUUGAUCUGAAGAAAAAUUCAGAAUCUGGUCAUGUGAUCAGUUGCAUGCUACUUUUGGUUGAUCUGUGUUUCCAUUGGGCAUUAAUUAAUUAGGCCCCUUUUAUUUUUAGAUAUUUGGAAAUUAAUUAGUCCAUAGAAGAUACAGUAAACUUGUUUAAUUUAGUCAUGAAAUAGCGUAUUACUUGUGGCUAAUCAACUGAUUUAGAAAUCGUAAACCUAACUAUGCCAAUUAGUAUCAGUUCUACGCUGAAACGCACAAGCAAAGGAUUCGAAACUCCGACCUUAAAAAUAAUCCUUUUCGACAACCACCAACAAUUAGACUAAAGUAAUAUAGUAUAGUAAAAUAACAUACGAUAUAGAAUAAAGUAACGUAUAAGAUAUGUAAUCACGAACAUGUAAACAGUCAACUAGCUAGAUUCAAAGGUUAUAACUCCCCAGUCACAAGAGACAAAUAGCUAAGCCCAAAGUGUAAGCAUCACACCUCUCUCUCUCUCUUAUUUAAGACUAAAUCAUGUGUGUUUAUGUGUACCUCUCAUGUCAAGGGAGAUUGAAAGAGAAAGGAAACGGAAGGCCCCUUUAAUCCAGCAAAAGCCUUUCCUAAUUCCCCCACUCUCACCACCUAUAUUUAAAGCAUCUUGCAUGCGUUGAUUAACAUCUAUUUAUCUCCUCUCAAACUUCAAAACUUUCCCUUCCCCAUACUCCCAAUGAUCACCCAACUAUAUUAAUGUUAGUAUAAAUACACACUUACACUACAUAUAUAUAUAAUACUCUCCUCCAUUUUUUCAUUCCCUUGGCUCGUAACCAUAACACUCCCUGAAAACGGCGCCGAAGAAUCACAAUCGCCGUGUUCGCCCACUCCUCUACAUUUAUACUUGUUGACAAGGUAUGUUAUUGUUUUUUCUUUUUUUUUUCCUCAAAAAAUUGUAGAUAGCUACUUAAAUAAAAGAAUUAUAUUAAUUGGAUUCAAAUUUCGUUCAUGUUUUGUUCGUUUGGAUUGCUUGUCUGAUGAAGUUAUAUUUUUUUUCCUCUUGUUCUGCUAAUUGUUGUAUAAUUUUUUUCACAUUAAUUAAUAAGAUUAAAGUUAGAAAAAAAUUAAAUUUGGAUUAAUUUUGUGGUGUUAGGUGAUCAUAAACAAUAUAUGCUUGGUCACUUCCAGACCGAAGUGAAUUCCCUGAAGCCGGCUUCCGGAAUGUGGGGCGACGCCGGCUUCUCUUCGCUAUCUUCGACACUCGGCGCCGACUUUGGUAAUUUUCUCUUUUUUUCCUUUUUUUUUCUAUUUUGUUUUUUUUAAAAAAAAAUAUUGAACUUAAAUUCAAUUCAUUAAUGACCAUAUUUGUGGACGUAGGGAGCGGUGAAUCCUCUCGCAUGCGGAGUUCCAACGCCUCCUCCGUCGAGCUCGAGAGAUUGUGAGUCCCAUAGCAGUUCACUUAAUUUACCAUACUACCCUUAUCAGCAAAAUGCCAUGCAGGGACAGCUGAGUAAUUUAACAUAUCUGUUUUUUUUUUUAUUAUUUUUUUGGGUUUUUAAAUUAUUAUUAUUUUUUUAAUGAACAGCAUCAUGGGGGACUUGUUUCCAGUUUCUCACGAUUUUGAUGAUCUGCAACAUCACUUGGAUAGCUUUUCCUCACCUGUUCUAUCUCUUCCACACCCCACACUUUUUUCUACUGCUCUAUCAAAUAACAAUAUUGUUACAGGUACUCUCUCUCUCUCUAUCUCUUUCUUGAAUUUAUUUUUAUUUUUUCUCUCUUAUAUAUAUACACUUUUUUAGUUAAUUUAUUUUGAUGGCAUCUUUAUAUAUGCAUGGGUUUUUUUUGUUUUGUUGUAUAGUGGGAGAUAAAAAUGGUUUGAUGGGUAAUGCUGAUACCAACUCAGGAGCACCUCAGUAUAUUUUUCCUGCACCCAUAGCAGCUGUUAGUGCAUGAUCUCUAUUACUUCAUGUUUUUGAAAAACUAAUGCUCUCUCUCUAUAUAUAUUUGUAUCUAUUAUGUAAUGAUUAAUUGUUUUUAUAUGUCUAUUAUGCAUAUGUUUUGUCUUUUAAUUAGUGUAUAGAAAAGCAAGUGUGUACAAGAGAAGUAGUUGUAGAGAACGGAGAGAGUAGUUUAGGUUUAAGAGCAUUGAAGAGACUGAAGACGAUGACACAGGGGGAUCGGAAGCCGACUUCGGCGAGAAAACAGUUGCUGAAGGUGGGUCGAUACAUAACUAUAUAUCAUUUGUCCUUGUUGAAUAUCAUAAAGUAUUAAAACAUUGUUCAUUUUUCUUAAAUAAAUGAUAAUUUUUCAUGAUACCAAUGUAGAAGCUUUUAAAAUUAGGAGUCUGUUUUCGAUGGUCGAAUUUAAAUUUUUCUCAUCUCUAUUUUAAGUCCAUAUGGGAAGGAGAGUGUGUACUUUAUAUACAUAUAUUAUCCAGCGGGUAACAGCUUAAGCUUUAAGAAAAAAAAAAUUAUUGCAACUUUUACUUUCUUACUUUUCUUAUCUAUCUUUUUUUUCCCCUUUUUUUAUCGUCCGGAACAACAACUAAUCAUGCAUGCGUUGCGCUUGGAUCCAUGAAUAGGCACCUGCGAAGAGAAGCCAAAAGCUGGGAAAUAAGAUCACAGCUCUUCAGCAGCUUGUUUCUCCUUUUGGGAAGGUCAUUUCUUAAGAUCUAAAUUUAGUUGUAUUUGUCACGCCCCGAGCUCCGCCAAUUUGGUCAGAUUCGGGCACCCCAACAGACCGCACAGUACUCUUUCAAAUUGAAAU